rnacentral:lncRNA from 1 species
CUGACCAAGAAGGAUGACCCAAGAAUGCCAAGCAUCUAUUGCUCCAUAAAUGGAUACAACUUCUACAAGACGACUUGCGACACCAGAUCGGGCGUCAACAUAAUGGCCGCAGUCACCUAUCGGCUCUUGUUCGGAACCAUGCCCUUAAAACCAACAUACAUUCACCUCCAGAUGGCAGAUCAGACAUUUCAAGAAGUUAAAGGAAUAGUAACUGAUGUCCCUAUCAAAAUAGACGAUCAUUUUGUCUACACAGACUUUCAGGUUAUUGACAUGGGAGAAGACGAAUACGAUCCGCCCAUCAUCCUUAGAAGACCGUUCCUCAACACCGUUAAAGCAAUCAUCUACAUUGGAACUGGAGAAGUCCAUAUGCACUUCCCCUCAGAGAAGGUACGCCGCUAUUUUAUUGACCCUAACUAUAUCAUUGAAGACUCUAAGUAGGUCAGAAGAAGACGACGCAACCGCAACCAGAGGAGGGAAAUCAUCAAGGACGGAUGGGCAGACUAUGAAGGAGAAGUUGUAAGGUCAGAAGACGUAUAGUUUAAACAGAAUUAUCCAGAGGAGACCGUAGCACCGAGUCAGGUGUGGAGAGAAAAGAUAACCAUACAUGAACAAGAGGCACCGCCGAAAGUAUCGACUCCGCCACCCAAUGACUCCCAGGACGACUGAGAAAACAAAGAGUCCCGUUCGGAGGACUUAAAAACACCGAACGCCAUGCCAAGAGGUAAACUUGGUAGUUAUCCUUUCUCUUUCAAUUAUUUAAAAUAGUUUACUUAAUUAGUUAUGUUUAUACUAUCCUAAAAAGAAAAGAAAAAUGUUAAAAAACAGUUAGCCCCAUGUGAGUAUACGGGUGGCAUAAAACCCAUAAGUACAUUCACUGUGGUGGCAUAAAAGUAAAAUAAAUAUUUCUUUUCUGCUUUAUAAAACGAAAAUAUAAAAAUAGCGAGUAUAUUAAGGAGGCUCAAUAUGAUAAAGGCUAGAUAUUUAUGCUAACACUUAAUCAGUUCCACAAGCUUUGUUGUCUAUUUGAGCUCCACAGAAUUUAAGAAUCAAGAAGACUAGCAGACAGAGGACAUUCUAAUCGCUGUCAGGAUACUGCCGACUUUCAAAUACACCUCUGCCACUUGCUAGCUACAUCAAGAGAAAUUACGUCAAAAUUCAGCUAGGGUGAGAGCACCCCCAUUUAUCCCGCUAAGUAUUUCAAUCUUUAUACUUAUACUAUAUUAAAAUAUACAUUACUAUGGAAAACAAAAUAAAGAUUUUAUGCUUAUAUAUAUGUCUUUUGCUUAGUAUGUUUAAUAAAUAAAUAAAGUGGCUAUGCUAAUCUGAAUCUUAAUAAUAAAACUCUAGCAUGGAUAUGAUGAAUAGUUGCUCUGCCUAAUUUGCAAAUUUGAAGUUCUCUCACUAGUUUAGAUAUAACUGUUAUAUUUUAAAGCUUGCUCUAAACCUAAACUUGUGGGAUGAAAACUUGAUCUGAAGUCUAAGUUGUUAACGGAUACGAUAUGGAAAGGUUGGGCUGCUGUUUAUCUGUUCCUAGAGAUGCUAGAAAUUCUAGAGAAUUUUAUCUUUUAAAAUCUUUAAAAUAGCACAUGAUGAGUUCCUGUAUGAUGAGAGUUUAAAUUCCUACCACAGCCAUAUAUACAUGCUUGCUAGAUUUUGAGCCACACAUUUACUUUUUGCUGCUUAUGAGCAUUGAGUGUGGUCAAGCUGUGUAGACCCUUAGGAGCUUGUCAUGUGGUUAAAUCAAGAUUCACUUGCACAUUCAUUCACACAUGCUACUUCUACUCCGGAAGUACCAUCCACAUAUAUCCAUCCAUUUCCAUCUCCAGAACCACCCAAAAAUAUUCUACUCCUAAUCCGGGAGAGAAUGGCCAAAAAUAUUUCUGUUUCCCCUAUGAAAUAAAUGCUCAAGUUAUCUUAUUACUAUCACUUGCUAUAUUAUCUCAAGAGAUGAGUGCUCUAAAAAAAAGUAUACGAGGAAAUAAAAAGGGACAAGUGCCCGGAACCUCAAAAGAAAAGAAAAAGUGAGACGAGAGGUAAAAAUGGACAAGUGUCCGAUAGUAGAAUUAGGGGUACAAGAUACCCACCUGAGAGGAAAGAAAAAGAAAAGAUAGAGCAUCUCAUUCUCCUCACAAAGUUUCAGAGAGCAAGGAAGGUAUGUAUUCCCUCAAAGAGAAAAAGUAGAAUUAGACUUCCACCAUUGUUAUCACCAUCAUCACCAUACACCAUUCAUUCGCCACACAUGCACAUCUUGAUUUGACUUAUUGAUUUGUUUCUUUGGAUCCAUGGUUUGACUAUACAAUAUAUGUCUUGUGAGUAUGUAUAUUUUAUCUCCCACCUAUGAGCUCCAGAUAUCAAGCCUUAUUAGAGUAGGGUGAGAGAGAAGGUAAUGUCACUAUGCCUUAUACCACAAAUACCACAUAUCUUGAGAGAAGGCAUAUACCAUCACUGCCUUGGUAAGGAUCCAGAAAUACCACAAAAGAGAGAUAUGAGAGAGUCAUACAAGGAAUCUCUGAGUUUUAUUUGAAAAUCUACAAAAACUCCAGAGCUAUAGCGGAUCAAGAAUAAGAGACAUGGCACUUGGCUAGACCGUUCUAUCUUUUAACUACUCAAGACAGAAGUGACGGUUACAAGUCCCAUGGUGAAAGGUAAAAUGAAUAAGUUUUAAGUCUUGACAGUUUACUCUAACUCAGAGAUGAGAUCCUAUUUAAAAGCAUGUGUACCGUCAAUUUUUAAAAGUAUUGCAACAACUUCUGAUUCAUCACUGAAAUUAUCCUUGCUCAGGGACGAGCAAGAGGUAAGCUUGGGUGAGUAUGUUGACGGUCCUUAAGUAUCAAAUUUAAUUAACAAAUAAACAAAGAAAAGGAUCCAAAUGAACUCAACAUCUAGACUUAGGGUUUUAUCUGACAGAAUUCCACGAGUUUUGGUGUUUGUCUAUUUCUGCAGGGGGUUAUCAGGAAAUAAGGAAGAAAGGCCCACAUGUCGGGAUUACCUAGAGAUAUCAAUGUGCCGCACAAUUAUCUUACAUCUAGAAGACUCCAGAAGCCACGGGAAGGAAGCGGAGGCCGAACGAGGCCAGGCACUAGGCGCCCACCCCCUCUUGGAGUUGGAUCAGGACUCUCUUUCGGGAAAGAUCUCCACCGACCUAAAGGAUCAAGGAUAACCGUUCAAUCAAUGUCGGUUUGAUCCAACGGCCCAUAUUCACUUGAAGGGACUAUAAAACCAGACCCCCUGGCCCCUGGAGGAGAGAGCCUCUCAACCCUAAUUCAUUAUUCCUCAAGGGAGAAGAAGCCUCUGUUCAAGCCUAGAGCCACCACAUCAAUUAGACAUCUAGAUUAGCAUAGCUACAUAGGAUUAGAACUAGAAGGAGUCAAUGUUCGAUUGGUUUCCGGAUCUAUCAAGAGGAUUCUUGGUAAUUCUCUAAUUGUUCUUCUAAUUGUUCUUCUAAUCAUCUUUGUUCUUCAGUAUUAUGAAUAUGACUUUGUUCUACUUCAAUAUAUUGCUUAUGACUUUGCUCUACUUGCUUAUAUUCAAGAUUGUAUUGUUCUUAGUUUAUCAUAGUUAUAUACUUGGCUUAGUUAGAUUGGAUCUAUAUACAUGUUUAGGAUCGUAUGACUUUAUCCAUCGGAUCCAUGGGUAAAUGAUAGAUAUUGUGUAGCCGUGGUGCUUAUACCGUAUUUAUCUCUGAUUGUACCCAAUAUGUCAGAUCAAGGGGUAGUUCGUGAUAGUGACAGCUUCAUUGAUUCUUAUAUAGUCCCCCUCUCGUGUAUUGGGCAGGCAGAGCAACAUUAUUAUAGGAGAGUGAUUGCUAUGUUUCUCAUUUACCUUGAUAAUAUCACUAUGCAUGGGCGUAGUCUUGUCUCACAAUGAUUGCUAAUUAUGCUUGCACUAACUAUGAUAAUGUUAGACUAUAUAGUUGAGAAUAACUUAGGAAAUAUUCUUGUAGUUCGUUCUAAUACCAUGCUAAUGACUUUCUAGAAUAUCUAAUUGAUGUGUUUGUCAUAUUUAUUAUGUGGAUAAGUUAUGCUAAUCAGAUUAAUUAUCUUUGUCACUAUUCAUUACUUCAUAUAUCUUUUAUGUGACACUUACCCCUGUAUGAAAGAGUUAGAUAAAUGUUCUCAAUUAUACAUGCAACGAUAGAUACUCAAUCUCAUAUUCUAUUCUAUAAUCAAUAUUGAUGAUUGGUAAUCCCUUCCCAGUGGUAAAAAUAUAAAUAACGAUACCUGGAAUACUUCCCGGUUAAAAUGCUACAUCGGUAUUAAUCUGUGCGCUUGCAGAUCCCAUUCAUUAUAUAUUUAGAAGAGCAAUUGCAUAUUUCAAUACCGCGUCUCUCAUGUCAUGCUGGGGAUGACAACUUGGCUUAAGUGAUUUGAGGGAUAGGUUUGGCAUUUUUGGCACCGCUAUCAGAAUUAGAAAACUAAGUCUACUUUUGGUAGUGACGUUAAGAAUGCCCAACACCCACCUGAGAGGAAAGAAAAAGAAAAUAUACAGCAUCUCAUUUUCCUCAAAAAAGUUUCAAAAGAGCAAGGAAGGUAUAUAUCCCCUCAAAAGAGCAAAAGUAGAAUUAAACUUUCACCAUUGUUAUCACCACCAUCACCAUACACCAUUCAUUCGCCACACAUGCACAUCUUGAUUUGACUUAUUGACUUGUUUCUUUGGAUCCAUGGUUUGAUUAUGCAAUAAAUGUCUUGUAAGUAUGUAUACUUUAUCUCCCACCUAUGAGCUCUAGAUAUCAAAAGCUUUAUUAGAAUAGGGUGAGAGAGAAGACAAUGUUACUAUGCUUUAUACCACAAAUACUACAUAUUUUGAGAGAAGGCAUAUACCAUCACUGCCUUGGUAAGGAUCCAGAAAUACCACAAAAGGGAGAUCUGAGAGAGUCAUACAAGGAAUCUCUGAGUUUUAUUUGAAAAUCUGCAAAAACUCCAGAGCUAUAGCUGAUCAAGAAUAAGAGACAUGGCACUUGAUUAGACUGUUCAAUCUUUUAACUACUCAAGACAGAAGUAAUGGUUACAAGUCCCAUGGUAAAAGGUAAAGUAAGUAAGUUUUAAGUCUUGAUAGUUUACUCUAACUCAGAGAUGAGACCUCAUUUAAAAACAUGUGAACCGUCAAUUUUUAAAAGGUAUUGCAACAACUUCUGGUUCAUCGCUGAGAUUAUCCUUGCUCAGGGACGAGCAAGAUGUAAGUUUGGGAGAGUUUGUUGACGGUCCUUAAGUAUCAAAUUUACUUAUCAAAUAAAUAAAGAAAAGGAUCCAAAUGCAAUCGACAUCCAGACUUAGGGUUUUAUCUGAUAGAAUUCCACGAGUUUUGGUGUUUGUCUAUUUCUUCAGGGGGUUAUCAGGAAAUACGAAAGAAAGGCCCACACGUCAGGAUUACAUAGAGAUAUUAACGAACCGCGCAAUUAUCUUACAUCUAGAAGACUCCAGAAGCUGUUGGGUAUUCUUAACAUCAUUACCAAAAGUAGACUUAGUUUUCUAAUUCUGAUAACGGUGCCAAAAAUGCCAAACCUAUCCCUCAUACCACUUAAGCCAAGUUGUCAUCCCUAGCAUGACAUGAGAGACGCGGUAUUGAAAUAUGCAAUUGCUCAUCUAAAUAAAUAAUGAAUGGGAUCUGCAAGUGCACAGAUUAAUACCGAUGUAGCAUUUUAACCAGGAAGUAUUCCAGGUAUCGUUAUCUAUAUUUUUACCACUGGGAAGGGACUAGUAAUCAUCAACGUUGAUUAUAGAAUGGAAUACGAGAUUGAGUAUCUAUCAUUGCAUGUAUAAUUGAGAACAUUUAUCUAACUCUUUCAUACAGGGAUAAGUGUCACUUGAAAGAUAUAUGAAGUAAUGAAUAGUGACAAAGGUAAUUAAUCUGAUCAGCAUAACUUAGCCACAUAAUAAAUAUGAUAAGCACCUCAAUUAGAUAUUCUAGCAAGUCAUUAGCAUGGUAUUAGAACGAACUACAAGAAUAUUUCCUAAGUUAUUCUCAACUAUACAGUCUAGCAUUAUCAUAGUUAGUGCAAGCAUACUUAGCAAUCAUUGUGAGACAAGACUACACCCAUGCAUAGUGAUAUUAGCAAGGAAUAUGAGAAACAUCUUAAUCACUCCCCUGUAAUAAUGUUGCUCUGCCAGUCCAAUACACGAGAGGGGGACUAUAUAAGAAUCAAUGAAGCUGUCACUAUCACGAACUACCCCGCGAUCUGGCAUAUUGGGUACAAUCGCAGAUAAAUACGGUAUAAGCACCACGCCUACACAAUAUCUAUCAUUUACCCAUGGAUCCGAUGGAUAAACGCUAUACGAUCCUAAACAUAUAUAUAGAUCCAAUCUAACUAAGCCAAGUAUAUAACUAUGAUAAACUAAGAACAAUAUAAUCUUGAAUAUAAACAAGUAGAGCAAAGUCAUAAGCAAUAUAUUGAAGUAGAACAAAGUCAUAUUCAUAAUAUUGAAGAACAAAGAUGAACAAUUAGAGAAUUACCAAGAAUCCUCUUGACAAAUCUGGAAACCAAUCGAAGAUUGACUCCUUCUAGUUCUAAUCCUAUGUAGCUAUGCUAAUCUAGAUGUCUAAUUGAUGUGGUGGCUCUAGGCUUGAUCAGAGGCUUCUUCUCCCUUGAUGAAUAAUGAAUUAGGGUUGAGAGGCUCUCUCCUCCAGGGGCUAGGGGGUCUGGUUUUAUAGUCCCUCCAAGUGAAUAUGGGCCGUUGGAUCAAAUCGACAUUGAUUGAACAGUUAUCCUUGAUCCUUUAGGUCGGUGGAGCGUAAUCCCGAAAGAGAGUCCUGAUUGGACUCUAGAGGUGGGCGGGCGCCUAGGGCUAGGCCCCGUUUUGCCUCCGCUUUGUUCCCGUGGCUUCUGGAGUCUUCUAGAUGUAAGAUAAUUGCGCGGCAUGUUGAUAUCUCUAUGUAAUCCCGACGUGUGGGCCUUUCUUCCGUAUUUCCUGAUAACCCCCUGUAGAAAUAGACAAACACCAAAACUCGUGGAAUUCUGUCAAAUAAAACCCUAAGUCUAGAUGUUGAUUUCAUUUGGAUCCUUUUCUUUGUUUAUUUGAUAAUUAAAUUUGAUACUUAAGGACCAUUAACAAAGUCCCCCAAGCUUACCUCUUGCUCGUCCCUGAGCAAGGAUAGACUUAAAAAUGGAUCAGAAGUUGCUGCAAUACCUUUUAAAAUUUUACGGUACACAUGCGUUCAAACAAGAUCUCAUCUCUAGGUUAGGGUAAACUGUUAAGAUUUAAACUUACUCAUUUUACCUUCCACCAUGGGGCUUGCAACUGUCACUCGUGUCUUGAGCAAUUAAAAGAUAGAACGGUCUAGUCAAUCGCCAUGUCUCUUGUUCUUCGAUUAACUAUAGCUCUGGAGUUUUUGUAGAUUUUCAAAUAAAACUCACAGAUUCCUUGUAUGACUCUCUCUAGUCUCUCUUUUGUGGUAUUUCUGGAUCCUUACCAAGGCAGUAAUGGUGUAUGCCUUCUCUCAAAGUAUGUGGUAUUUUUGGUAUGAGGCAUAGUGGCAUUGCCUUCUCCCUCACCCCUCUCUAAUAAGGCUUUUGAUAUCUGGAGCUCAUAGGUGGGAGAUAAAGUAUACGUACUUACAAGACAUUUAUUGCAUAGUCAAACCAUGGAUCUAGAGUAACAAGUCAAUAAGUCAAAUCAAGAUGUGCAUGUGUGGCGAAUGAAUGAUGUAUGUAAUGAUAGUGAUAACAAUGGUGAAAGUCUAAUUCUACUUGUGCUCUUUUGAGGGGAUACAUACCUUUCUUGCUCUUUUGAAACUUUUUGAGGAGAAUAAGAUGCUCUAUAUUUUCUUUUUCUUUUCUCUGAAGUGGGUAUCUUGUACCCUUAAUUCUACUGUCGGACACUUGUCCAUUUUUACCUCUCGCCUCACUUUUUCUUUUCUUUCGAGGUUCCGGGCACUUGCCCCUUUUUAUUUCCUCGUAUCUCUUUUUUUUAGAGCACUCAUCUCCUUAAAUAAUGUAGCAAGUGGUAGUAACUAAAAUAACUUGAGCAUUUAUUUCAUAGGGGAAAAACAGAAAUGUUUUUGGCUAUUCUCUCCCGGAUUAGGAGUAGAAUAUUUUUGGGUAGUUCUGGAGAUGGAAAUGAGUGGAUGUAUGUGGAUGCGUACUUCCGGAGUAGAAGCAGCAUGUAUGAGUGAACGUGCAAGUGAAUCUUGAUUUUAACCACAUGACAAGCUCCUAAAGGUCUACACAGCUUGACCACACUCAAUGCUCAUAAGCAGUAAAAAGUAAAUGGAUGGUUCAUAGUCUAAUAAGCAUGUAUAUAUGGCUAUGGUAGGAUUUUAAACUCUCAUCAUACAUGAACUCAUCAUACAACAUUUUAAAUAUUUUCAAAGAUAAAAUUCUCCAGAAAUCUAGCAUCUUUAGGAACAGAUAAACAUCAGCUCAACCUUCCCAUAUCGUAUUCGUUAACGACUUAGACAUUAGAUCAAGUACUCUUCCCACAAGUUCUGGUUUAGAGCAAAUCUUAAUUAAUAACAGUCAUGCCUAAACUUGAGAGAGAUUUCAAUUUUGAGAAUUAGUCAUGGCAGAGCAACUAUUCAUCAUUUCCAUGUGAGAGCUUAUCAUGAGGGUUCAUAGCAAACUUUAUUUAUUUAUUUAUUUAGCAAACUAAGCAAAGAUAUAUAUAAGUACAAAAUCUUUAUUUGGGUUUUUAUGAUUAUGCAUCUUUUUAUUAUUUGAGUAAAGUAUAAAUGUGAGUAGAAUACUUAGCUGGAUAAAUGGGGGUGCUCUCCCCCAAGCUGGAUUUUGACAUAAUUCCUCCUGAUGUAGCUAGCAGGUGGCGGAGGUAUAUUUGAAUGUCGGCAGCACCCUGACAGCGAUUAGCGUCUGCUAGUCUUCUUUGAUCCUUGAAUUGUGUGGAGCUCAAAUAGACAACAAAGCUUUGUGGAACUAGUUAAGUGUUAGCAUAAAUAUCUAGCCUUUAUCAUGUUGAGCCUCCUCAAUAAAUAUUACUAUCUUUGGUAGGAUCAUAAAUUUAUUUUUAUAUUUUCAUUUUUAUAGCACAUAAAUAUAUUUAUUUUAUUUUUAUGCCACCACUGUGAAUGUACUUAUGAGUUUUAUGCCAUGAGCAUACUCACAUGGGGCUUACUAUCUUUAACAUUUUUAUUUUCGUUUCAAGAUGAUAUGAACCUGAUUAACUAAGCAAACUAUUUUAAAUAAUUGAAAGGAAAAGGAUAACUACCAAGUUUACCUCUUGGCAAAGCGUUCGGUGUUUUUAAGUCCUCUGAACGGGACUCUUCGUUUUCUCAGUCAUCCUGGGAUUCGUUGGAUGGCGUAGUCGGUGGUUCCGGCGGCGCCUCCUCUUCAUGUAUAACUAUCUUCUCUCUACACACCUGACUCGGUGCUAUGGUCUCCUCAAGACAGUUCUGUUGAAGUUGUAUGUCUUCAGACCUUACUACUUUUCCUUCGUGGUCUGCCCAUCUGUCCUUGAUGAUUUGCCUCCUCUGGUUGCGGUUGCGUCGUCUUCUUCUUAUCUUGACCUGCUUAGAGUCUUCAACUAUAUAUUUAGGGUUAGUAAAAUGGUGGCGUACCUUCUCAGAGGGGAAGUGCCUAUGGACUUCUUUGGUUCCAAUGUAGAUGAUUGCUUUAACGGUGCUAAGGAACGGUCUCCUAAGGAUGAUGGGUGGAUCGUACUCGUCUUCUCCUAUGUCAAUAACCUUCAACCUUUUGGAAUGUCUGAUCUACCAACUCGAGCUGAAUGUAUGUCGGUUUUAGGGGCAUGGUUCCGAACAGGAGCUGAUAGGUGACUGGGUCGUCCUUUUUGGUUAGGAACGGUGACUUAAGUCGACGAUCUUGACCUCGUUGAACUAGAGUGACCAUCUUAGUUGACUUGAUCCACAUUUGCUUGUUCCUGUUCCUCCUGUUGGUCCUCUUCCUUGGUUCAUGUCGGGAUUGCUCUGAGAUUUGUGUAAUCUUGUUCUCGAAGGAAAAUGUCUCCUUCUUUUCCUUGAUGUAGAAACUGAUCUAGGCAGCACUAGCGUAGAUGAUAGCGCCUGAGGUGUUCAGGAAUGGCCUCCCUAGGAUGAUGGUUGCCCUCUCAUCAGAACCGGUCUCUAUCACCACGAAGUCUGCUGGGGCGUACAAGGUACCAACUCGAACGCAGAGGUUCUUCAAUAUUCCCUUUGGGAAACUUAGCGUAUGAUCUGCAGGCUGCAAACACAUGGUUGUUUCUAGUAAAGGAUGCGUAAAUAAUUUUUCAUAGAGUACCCUAGGCAUAAUGUUAACGCUGGAGCCAAAGUCGCAGAGUGCUUCUAGGAAGUCCACCAUGCCGAUGGAGAUCGGGAUGACGGGGCAUCCUAGAUUGUCUCUCUUGACCGGGAGAAGGUCAGUAAUUACUUCCACAAUGGAUUUACUCCAGUAGCUACGUCCUCAAGCAUCUCAGGGCAGUGAUUGCCUGAGUGUCUAGUAUAUCCAGUGUGUUUGUGCUUGUAGAUCUAGGUUCUUCACUUGGUGGAGUCUGGGAGUUGUAAAAGUCCUUCAUAUUUUGCUCGAAGUGUACCUGCUCAUAGAGACAAGGCAGAGAUCAAGUGCAUGGGCCCUGUUGGUGGAAAACACCAACAGAACAAAAAGUGUAUUUGUUCUUCUCUAACCUUAAGCAUAGUGAGCAAGACAAAGUUGAUGGAUAAUAAGAUCAUGAGUGUAGUGUUUAAAGUAUUUGUCAGAUCAGAUCGCUCAACCUAAUGGAAAGAUAAUCUAUCUAUACUUAUUAUUAUUAUUUUUUAUAUAUAUAUCUUCCAAAGAUUGAGUGUGCAACAUUUUAGUUCAUAUGAUUAGGAGUGUGGGAUCACAAAGGUGGAAGGACUAAACAUAUUGAAUCGACUGGGUUGGUUAAUCUAGAGUUGUAAAUCAUACAUGUUUGUCUCUUUUAUUCAUGUGAACGCCAGAACCAAAGAGAAGCUUAUAAAAAGAAAUGAUAGUCAAGUACCUUAAAAUGUUACCUUACUUGAAGGGUGAUGGUACAGUAUCACCUUGUGGAAGCUUUCCUUUUUUAGCGGUUGUGCAUCGUGUUUGUGGCACCAUCCAUGGAUCAUCUCUUGUGAGCUAUGCCUUCCUUGUGUAAAUUGUUAACCUUCAUGUGCCUCUCUCUUUGUCUCCAAUGUGUGUUUACCUCAGGACUUCCCAGGUCGAUAUUGAAAGUUUUCCUGCAGGGGUUAGUCCUACAAAAUAUUCAAUAUCUACUAUAGCAUACUAUCGGCUCAAAAAUCAACCUAGACACCAUGUCUAAUUUGAUUUAGGAGGGCAUUUUAACCUAAGCACCAUGCUUAAUUUAAAAUCCCUUGGAAGUAAGAUCAACAUUCCUAACUAAGCACCAUGCUUAAUUAAGAGAUAAAUGAAACUACUCCAAACCUAGACAUAUACUAAAGCAAAUAAAGGUAGCAUGAGAACAUUUAUAGAGAUCUACUCAAGUGGAGAUGAAGUAGUGUGAUUAGUAUUUAACAAAUUGAGCAUGUCUCAAAGGUAGGGACAACCAACAUAGCAACAUGGCAAAGGAUGUUUUUAUGUAAAGUACUCCCCCAAGCUUGAAUUUUGCAAAAUUCAAGUUUGGAUGAAUUUAAUUCAAAGUUGUAUGAUGAUUGGUUGGACAUACCUUGUGCUUGUCAUUCAUCCGAUCUUCUUGCUCCAAUCGUGGAAAGGUUAGUGACAAGAAUACCCGAAGGAAUUUUUUACAAUUAUCCUUAUAUGCUCAAUACACAAGGUAAUGUUGCAUAUAAUUAAAAGCUCAUGUUACGAUCUAAUCAGUGCUUAUUUUAGGACACUAAGCUUCUCCUUGGGAAACCAUCAAUUUAUGUCGGCGAAGUGGUUUCCCCUCCAAUGCUGACCUAUAUCAAGAUCAACUCAACGAGAUCUGCAAUAUUUAUUAUAGACAUAUGUAUCGACAACCGCCCUUUUAAAGUUUUUAUAAAUAGAAAGGAUGAGGGGGUUGGAGAUCUCAAAUGUGGUGAUGUUGGAGAGACUAAAAGAUUGGGAAGAUGUUGCAUAUGAGCAUGGAGUAAAUGAAGUGUCUAUGAAAUAAAUUCCAUGCUAAUUAAUGCUUAGAGAGAAAUCCAUGUGGUGUGGUGAAAAUGGUAAGGUGAGUGUGGUAAAAAAGGAAAAGAAAAAGGAUACACGGAUGACUUGGUUCGAAACUAGCACAGCUACAGUUCCCCGGCUACGGCGCCAGAAAGCUUGUUCGGUAUUUUAAACGUAAACAGAAAAAUCCGCAAGCGUACGGAUACCGAUGUAGCUUUCACCCGGGAGUAUUCCAGAGUAUCGAUUUUCCACAGGGAACAUGAGUAUACUAAUUAAGAAUCAAGAUCGCCCAAGGAUAACUAUAUAAUUAUUUUUGGUGGGAAGAGAGGAAGUUUCCUGAGAGUUCUCUAGUUGAUCUAAGAAUCAACAAUUACUUCAAAGAUUAUUUAUUUCGGGACAUCAGAACACUAACCACAGAAAGAGAUGAGAAGGGGACUAGGAGGCUCUGACAACGGUCCUACAAACACCGAUCCGAACGAGGUGGAAUACGUCGACCGUUAGAGCUAUCAUUACCCUAGGGCUACCACAACAAUCCGUAGGAUUGGGUGCAAUUCCAGGUAAUUGCAAGACUAAACACCACGUCUAAUCUAUUAAUUACUACUCUAGCGUUAUAAAGACUAGAGCACUUGAUGCAAGCAGGAAUCCAAUAAAUAACUUGAAUGUAAAUAAAAGUAAUUAAAGAACUCAGGAAUUAUGAAUUGAAGAACUUGGAGAACGAUGAAGAACGAACCAGUUGCUGCAAAAGAAUAAUGUUAAGAAAGAUUCGACAGAUCCGGCUCCUCCUCCGCUCUCCUCUUCUCUCUCCCUAUUUUCUAGAUUACAACUAGAACUAACUAAAACUAGAACUAGAGGAACUAGAAUUAGAACUAGAUGAACUAGAACUAGAUGAACUAGAGCUAGAACUAGAUGAACUAGAGGGAUCCUCUCUACUUGGAUGAAGAAUUGAAACCCUACCUUUGAUUCUGUAGAAGAGGUAUGAUCUCCAGGGGCCAGGGGGCCUUGCUUAUAUAGUCUUUUCAGAUGAAUCUGGGCCGUCGGAUCAAACUGACAUUAAUCGCAUGGUUUUCCUUGAUCCAUUAGGUUGGUGGAGCGUAAUCCACGAAACGGCUCCUGUUUGGACUCUAUAGCUGGGCGGGCGCCCCGGGCCAGGCCCCGUUCGGCCUUCGCUUCGUUCCCGUGGCUUCUGGAGUCUUCUAGAUGAUAGAAAAUUUUGCGGCACGUUAAUAUAUCUAUGUAAACCCGACGUGUGGGCCUUUCCUCCGUAUUUCCAGAUAACCCCCUGCAGAAAUAGACAAACACCAAAACUCGUGGAAUUCUGUCAGAUAAAACCCUAAGUUUGGGUGUUGGUUGCAUUUGGAUCCUUUUCCAUGAUUAGUUGAUGGUUAAAUGUGAGCAUUAAGAACCGUCAACAAAUGGAUUCUAAGUUAUCUACUAUCUACUAAGUCAGAACCUACUCUAGUUAUCUACAAGAUCAUAUAUAGCAUAAAAGACUCUUCAUUCAUGUAUAAGGAACAUUGCUAAAGUAAAUCAGAGCAUCACAAGACUUACUCUGCAAUACAAAUUCUGCCUGUCCUAUCAACGGAGGGUGGACUAUAUAAGAAUCAAAGAAGCUGUCACUAUCGCGAACUACCACACGACCCGGCCAAUAGGAUACAUUUGCAGGUAAAUAACAUCUAAGCACCACGCCCACAUGUGAUCUACCACUUAACUCCCGCGCGUCAAGAGCUAAGCGCUUUGCAAACUUAUACAUAAACUUAUUAUCAAUCAUAACCAUAACAAAUAUAGAACUAGAGCAAACUAAGAUCAUAAUAAAUAGAGACAUAAUGCAAUUAGAACAAAGUACUAGAGAAAGAUAUGAAAUAAUACCAAUCUUUAUUAGCGAAGAUCCGAAUCCAGAGCACUAGGCUCUACUUCUCUAAUUCUAUCUAAUCAAUCCUCUAAACUUGAAGGAUUAGGGAGUAGCUAAUUCUAAUUCUCUAUGGGAGAGAUGUCUAAACCCUAACUUUGAUGGCUACCUCUGAUAAUGAUUUCUCCUCUCUCCCCCUGCGGUGGAGAGGCCUUGAUUAUAUAGUCCUUUCAAGUGAAUUUGGGUCGUCGGAUCAAACCGACAUUGAUCGCACGGUUUUCCUUGAUCCUUUAGGUCGGUGGAGCAUAAUCGGCGAGACGGGUCCUGAUUGGACUCCUGGCCAGGGCGGGCACCCAAGGGGGGAGGGUGGGCGCCCUGCCCCCGAGCCCUUCCGGUCUCCCGUUCAUUCCCAUGGCUUCUGGACUCUUCUAGAUUGAGGAAAAUUAGGCGGCACGUAAUUAUCUCGAUGUAAACAUGACAUGUGGGCCUUCUCUCCAUAUUUUCUGAUAACCCCCUGCAGAAAUAGAUAAACACCAAAGCUCGUGGGAUUCUGUCAGAUAAAACCCUAAUUCUAGAUGUUUGUUUCAUUUGGAUCCUUUUCCAUGUAUAAUUGAUGGUUAAAUUUAGUACUUAAGGACCGUCAACAAACUCCCCCAAGCUUAUCCUUUGCUCGUCCCUGAGCAAACAGCUAAACUCAGAUGGAUCAGGAGUUGCUUCGAUGUUUUCUUUUCUGACAGGCACACAUGCUUUCACAUAAAAAUUCUUCCAGAUUAGAGUGAAGUGUUAUAGAGCUUAGUACCUGCACUUAAGUCUUAAGUAAUCGAAAGACAAAAUAAUUAAGUCAAGCACUAUUCCUCCUAUCUAUACUUCACUUUUGUUCCAGAAUUUUUCAUAAGUUUUCAAAAAUAAAACUCAGAGUCCCCAGCAAUGAUUCUCUCAAGUCUCUCUAUAUGUGGUAUUUGUGGAUCCUUACCAAAAUUUCACUUACCUAUAGCUAAUGGAAUAUUUAAGUGGAGCUCAUAGGAGUGAAAAACAGCUCAUAUGUUGUCUAAUCGAGCCAUGGAUCCAAAGGAACUCAGCAUAUAAUUAAAUCAAGAUGUGCAUGUGUGGUGGAGUAAAUGAUAGUGAUGGUAAAAAUAUAUAAGUAAUGAUAAAACUUACUUCUCAUUGCUCCUUAUAUUGCUAUCUCUCCUCUUCUUUGAUCUUUGCAUUGGGAGAACAUGGGCUAUCUUUUUCUCUCAUUUUUUCAGGUGGGUAGUAGAUACCCCUAAUUCUACUAUCGGACACUUGUCCAUUUUUUCCGCUCAAGUGGGCAUCUUUGUACCCCUAAUUCUACUCCAGACACUUGUCCAUUUUUACCUCUCGUCUCACUCUUUUUCUUUCUUUAUCGAGGUUCCCAGGCACUUGCCCCUUUUUAUUUCCUCGCAUAUUUUUGCAUAACCCAUGCCUCUUCUGCAUUGAAUCUUUUUAGAGAGAGAGAAUAACAACACUUGGGACAGUGAGUGAUAAUAUUUUUAGCAGUUUUAAUGAAUGGUGGUGAAUGGUGUAGUUGAUGUGUGCAAGUGAAUAUCUUAAUUUAACCACAUGAAAAGUUCCUAAGGGUCUACACAGCUCGAUCAAACUCAAUGUGAAUAUAGUAAAAGAUGUUAUAGCAAGUAUGGCUAUGGUAGGAAUUUUGUCAUGCUAGGAACUCAUCAUGUGAUUUGCAAGUUUUUCAAAAUAAAUCUCUAGAACUUAGUGUAUUAGGAACAAGAUAAACAGUAGCUCAAAUUUAUAUCAUGCCUUUCUCUUACCUAGACUUUAGUUUUAUGUUUCCCAUAGAUAGCAAUUUUAGUUUUAGUAAUUCCUAGAAGAACUCUAAUAUAAAAGCUAGGUACUUGAAAGUAAGCAAACAAAGCAACUGUUCAUCAUUUCCAUCAAGCAUCUUUUUGGUCUUUUUAUUUUUCUAGAGAUUAACUCUUGGCAGAUAAAUAAGCACACUUGUCCACACACUCUUUUUAUUUUGUUUUCAUGUUUAUAGAAUGCAGUAAAUUAAAGCAAGAAAAUAUUUAUUGGGUUUUCUAAGUUUUUCUUAUAUAUAAUCAAGACACUAAAACAGAAAAGAAUAAAUAAGAAGAGCAAAUAAAAACUUACUUGACAAAAUGGGAAAGAACUCUCCCAAGCUGGAUGUUGUUGUCGGUCUUACCUAAUGUUCCAGAAUUGCAUCAUGGUGGUGAUGUUGUCGUUCAUUGUUGUGGUGUCUUGUCUCAGUUCUUGUACUGCAGUGGCGUGGUCCUGGUUCCAUUUUUGUUGCUGUUCCAGGAGUCGUCCAUGUUCUGCUUGCGUAUUCUAGAUGUCGAGGAGGGUGUUGUCGGUACGGGUGAAGAAAGUGCCGGCCUCUUGGUAGUAGUCGUUUGUGAAAGCAUAAGAGGCGUCGGAAUAUCGUCCUGCAUCGAAUUGGAGCGGAGAUCUGGAUCCUGAAGCUCCAUAUGGAUCAGUGGAGUACCUGCCCGUAUGGAAAGGCGGGUUUGUCCACUGGUGAUCUUGGCUCUCCUACCAUGUCUCUUGUGUUGGCUCUUGUGGUUGAGCAUGUCGAACCCGUGUGUCCCGAAGGACUCAAGGGUUGUAGUCGCAAUAAUGCAGGUGCGCUGCUUCUUCCGGCCCGGGAUCAGCUCCAUACCAGGUGCGUUCUUGAUGGGUGGUCAUGCUUUCGGAUGCCACUCGUUGUGGAGCUCUCUGGUUUACCGGUGUCACUGCAAUUUCAAUCAAAUAAUUUUGAACAACAUAGAGGCCAAGGUUCGGGUUAGGUAACCGAAUCUUGCCUUUAUUAUCGUAUAACAUAUACAUUAUGUUCCCCUCUUUCUUUAACAUCCAAGCUUGCCUAAAAGUGUCAUAUCCAUGAUAUAUUCGUAACUCGUCUAUGAAUUCCAAUGAUGAGUUUUCUAGCAAAUGAAGACUAGAGGCUAGACGAGUGAUAAGUGAAGUACACCCUACUGGUCCCAGAAGUCUAGGUACACUAAGCCAAUGAGAAACCAAAAGUGUAACAGGUGAAGUGGGUACUUUAUUUAUAGCAGCAUAUAGAAGUUGUAAAUCUCCUACUCUUACUUUUCUAAUAUCAUCACGAUAGAAAAGAUUGUAUCCAAGUCAUUUGUGGAACAUCCUAAGAGUGGGGUGUUCCAUGUCACUGGUUCGGGCUUGACUAUAAAACUCAUCUCUAGAUAUCCCUUUCCAGAACUGGUGUCUCUCAAAAUUGGGUAAGUCGGAGUCAAUGUUCAAGAUGCAUCUUGAAGACAAACCGAGAUGGUCGCUCAGUUCUCUCCAAGACAACAUAAUGUCCUGUUUAAACAUCCGAAAAGCAAUUCCCCCUCAUAGUAUUGUAAUGUGCAAAGAAAUUCAAGGGUGAGAAGACGGGAACCCAGCUCAGUUAUGUUCCAAAAAUUUGUCCAUCCCACCAUCUAGAAAAUCAAAUCGAAUUCAGUAUCCAUACCUGUUUCUUGUAGCAAGAUAGGAUCAAGAGGGGGGGUGUGAAUGAAAUCUUUGUUCUUUAGCUGCUGGUAAACUUCCUUUUCUCUGCGGGUCUUCAGUCCAAUGUCUCAUAUCUUGAGGAGGACCUUGACUUGUGGAUUAGAUGAAGAUGGCAGAGCUUGCGUGGGUGUUGGGUCGACGCUGAUCUCUGAGGAGUGUCGGGAUGAACUCCUUGUACCUAUGUUCUUGAGGACCUUCCCUGCGUUCUUCACCUUCUUAAACAUCCUGUAGACAAAAGUUGACACACACACAACUAGUGGAAAAUGUGAGAGAAAAUGUUAGGGGUCAGCUGUCCGAAAUGUCAGUAGUCCAGGGGUUAGUCGCUUAAGAUAAGUUUUUAUUUUGGCAGCACCUCCCCCUAAACAACUUUUACUUCCGCUUUGGACAGCGGGAUCACUACUUACUAGGUGAACCUCACUCUCUUACUCAGAGACUACCAACCUCUCUUCCACUCUUCUCUUCCCCUCUACUCUCUUCUUUCUUCACUACAAGAGCUCCUUCUCUGGAAACUGAAACUUGCGUGGUUUUCUAGGAGGCUAGUGUGAUGGAGAUGGAGGCAGGAGGUGGUAAUUUAUAGGAGGAAAGGGGGACAGGGCGGGCGCCCUCUAUAGGUGGGUGGGCGCCCAGCUUUGGUGGCCAUCCUGGCUGCCUUUUCUCCACUCCCUCCUUUGCUUGGCUCUUACGCAGAAUAAUAGUUUAAUGGUGGUGGUUAGUCGGUGGAAAAGUGCUGGUGAGUGGAGAUAUGUUGGUGGAUCAAAUAAUGUGAUGGGAUGUGUGUGAGGUGUGGUGUAUGACAUGUGGGACCCAAGGGGUAUGGGUCAUGUUUCUAGAAGGUUGAUUAAAUAUAAUGCAGGAAAAGCUAUGAGAAUUAAAACUUAUUGAAAAUGAUCAUGGAAAAAUAUUUUUGUGCCUCCACAAUAAUUAAUAAAUGUGGGUUGUUACACACCACAAAUAUUACUUAUAUGGGGCUUUUUGAUAAUGCUAUGAAUAAAUAUGGAUAAUGCAAGAAUUAAAUAUGCAGAAAUUUGAUGAUGCAGAUAAAUACCGAUUUACCUCAUGGUGAGGGUUUGGGAUUUUUAGGUCCCCCAAGCUAGACCUCCAAAUCUUUUAAUCUUAUGAAUUACCUUCCUCCGGAUAUGGUGUCUCCAGUGGUUCUUCUUCAUGAACUUCCUUCACUGUAGAGUCUCUCUCUGGUCUGGGCUGUGAAGUGUACUUCUUUUCCAUUUAUGUUGAACUUGAUUUCUCCCUUCCCGACAUCAAUGUGGGCAUUGGCAGUGCUCAGAAAUGGCCUUCCAAGGAUGAUGGACACUUUUGAGUCAGGACUCAUGUCCAGUACCACGAAGUCUACUGGCACAAGAAAAUCUCUUAUCUUGACUGGAAUGUUUUUGGCAAUGCCCAACGGAUGUCGAACUGAUUGAUCUGCUAGUUGUAGGCACAUUGAUGUUGGUUCUAGGGUCGUAUGCUCAAGCUUCUCGUAGACUGAUGUUGGCAUCACACUGACACUUGCUCCGAGAUCACAAAGUGCAUUGUUGAAGUGUUGGUUUCUGAUUGAGCAAUCAAUAGUGAGACAUCCUAGAUCCUUCUUCUUCCUUGGUGGUUUGUUGAGGAUGGCCACACUACAUUCUUCUGUCAGCUUGAUAACCUUAGUGGUGGGCAGUGGUCUCUUCUUGUUAAGAAUAUCUGUAAUGUACUUUGCAUAUGUGGGUACCUGUAUGGCAUCAAGUAGAGGUAUGUUGACAUAUAAUUUCUGAAUGACCUCUAUAAACUUACCAAACUGCUCAUCCGACUGCAGUCCUCUGUUUCUUCUGGGAAAUGGCAAAUAGUUGGUGUCAUAAAAAUCUUUCCUCAUUUCUCUAGUACUUGGUGGUUGUAGCAGAUCUUCUGCUUCAACUGGGCUUUCUUCUUCUAUUACUGCUGGUUGCACUGGUGCUGAUGUUCUCUAUUUUUCUUUUGGGUAUGGGGGAUCCCUGGUGGCUUUGCCUCCUCUAGUAGUUAUGUUCUUUACCUGCUCAACGUUAGUGGCAACAGGCAAUGCAGCAGCUAGCUCUAUUAAUUUAAGCUCUACCCUUUUAUUAAGAAUGUUUUGCUCAUCAAAGGCAGUUAAUAGAAAAUCCAUUUUAUUGUGUAUAUCUUUUAGAGAUGAUACAUUUGUUAUCUAGCCUUUGUUUAACUCUAUCAUUAGUUUUUAUUUGUUGAGCAAUUAUAUCUUUUAAUGAAAGUUGCUUGAAAGUAUUACCUGAAUUCAUACCUUUGCUAUUGGGUUGACUUGAGGUAGGUUGAUAUUUGUAUGCUGUCUCAAUGGCCCUUUGAUCUUCUUUGAACUUGGCCCUCUGGUCAAUCCAAUGGAGCAAAUUUUCCAUCUUGGUUGAUAGUGAAUUUACUUCUUCUGGUAUUUCUUCAGUUUGAUGACAUUGUUGAGCUUUAUCUUGGAACCAGCUUUGGUUUUCUGCUAUCUUAUCCAAAAGUAUCUCUGCUUUUCCAUUUGUAAGCUCCAAGAAUGAUCCUUUAGCAGAUGCAUCUAGGCACUCACGAGCCUUUUGGGUUAAUCCAGGGCAAAAGGUCUGCAUAAGUAACCAUGUGGCCAUUCCAUGGUGAGGACAAUAUGAUAUGUAUCCUUGAAAACGCUCCCAUGCUUCUUGAAUGGUUUAUGUCUUCAGCUGUUGGAAACUGACAAUAUUUCUUCUUAAGGCAGUUGUCUUGCCCAUUGGGAAAAACUGUAACACCCCAGUGUUAUGGUUGCAUAAAUCAUAUGCAUAGCAUGAGCAUCAUCAUCUAUUCAAGCAUAUCAUGAUCAUCAUCUAUCUUGAGCCAUGUCAUUCCAUGCAAAUAUGUGAUUUAAAUUGUUUAAGUAGUCUUCCUAUGCUUAUGCUUGAGUGAACCAUGCUUGUGUUUAUGCUCUAUGCCUUGGUACUUAGUUUAUCUAUGCUUAACUCAACCUUGGGAACAAUGUUCAUGUUGAUCACUUCUCCAAAAUAAUCACAUAAGUCAUACUUAUACAAAUAGGCUCUAGAAACCUCUUUUGCUUAGGCUUUUAAAAAGUGUUUCAUAAAAUAUUUGCAUGUCAAAACUUUUUACAGCAAAGUUGUAGAAAAUUUUAUAAGGAACAAAAGUUGUUUUAUAGCCAUCUCAUUAAAAUGACCACAUCUAGCUCAAAAUUGAUCCACAAGGCAGAUUUGGGGCUGUUUCCAACACUUGGGAAAUUUUUCCAAGUCCUGGAAUGAAAACAGUUUGCUCGAUCGGUUUUGAAAACUCUAUAUCUCUCAAUCCAGGCCGAUCUGACUUUUGCUAUAGUUGACAAUGUUGUAGAACUCGAUUGGAACUCUAACUUUGUCAACUGCAUCAUCUUCUAACUCAGGCUGGUUUGGGAGUUAUUCGUUGCUGAAGUCGCUCUGUCAGUCGGUCAUCGUGUUCUCUGAAUCAGACGCGAGCUCGCCGACGUGGCCGACCGGCGACAGAGCAACGGCGACAUUUGGCACCCGUACGCCGCUCCUGGCCCCGCUCGUUAGCUUCCAGCGUGCGCAUGUCCUCCACGGCGACGCCCUGAGCAGAGUGGACGCGUCCAUUUCCUCUCUGCCUCGCCUCUCUCGCCAGAAGCGCGCCUGCAGCGAGCUCACCGUCGCGAGCUCACUCCGGCAAGCUCGUGUGUGCUCCUCGCUGCAUAGCAAUGCACCAAACUCCACCCAUAGCUCCGCCGUGAGCCGCUCUCCACUCUCCACCCUCUAGCUCGCCGGGAAACCCACCGGUGAGCCGCCAUUUCCUUCUUCCCCCAAAUCAGGUCGCCGUGACCAUCUUUUCCGGCGAACUCAAUGCUGGGCUCCUCGGAGCCUCCCAUCUCCUUUGGUUAGGUUCUAGAGGUAGCUUAGGUCCUUAGCUAGCGGUUGCACCUCUCGGUGGACGCUCUACCGCACCCACCGUCGCCGGACACGAUGCGCAGCGCCGCCGUGUUUCCGCCGGAGUUGGGGUCUUCCGUGGCCAGCACGUUCCACGACGUUUCAAGCCAAGCCGCGUACCUUGGAAGCUUCGCCGUAGUCCGCUGGUGCUGUAGGAAACCCUAGGUCACGCUCUACCGGCCUGAGGGCUCCGGUGUAACGCCGAGCACCUCCGCCGAGCCGCCAUGAUCGACGGCGAGCCAUUUCUGGUGGCUCCGCCGUGGGGAAAAGGGGGUCAAUCGAGUCGCUAGAGUCUGGGGAUCACAAUGGUGCCCUUGGUUUGGCCGGAGACCUCGCCGUCGCGGAGAAAUCGCCGGCGAGAGUCGCCUCGGCGGUGAGGAAGAUGACCCUGACAUGCGGGGUCCACUGUUAGUGUCACCUCACUUCCCUCCUUUUCUUUUAUUCAAAUCCUGAUUUUUGGCUUUCUUACAAAAAUCAUAUCUCCAGUUUCUGGGAUCCAAAAAUUGUGAAACCAAUUUUUUGGUAUUCCUUGAGAUGGCUAGUUUUUAAUAAAAAUAUAAAAUGAACCAUGUUUUCUGAGAAAAAUAUUUAUUAGGAUUUAAUCUUGUUAUUCAUGAGUAAAUUUAUAUCUCUUGUUAUACUGCUUAUUUUGCUACGAAAUUUUUAUGGUAGUCUCUGUGUGGUACUAGAAGGCUUUGAUAAAUAUUUCAUGAUUUUUGGAAUACUGCAGCUUUGAUAUGUAAUUUAUGUUUGAGAUUUGGCUUGUUUCCUUAAUUAAAUCAUAUAAAAUAAUUGGUGCUUAUGCUGGUGCUCUACUUUGGUGGUAAACUUGUUUAUGGUAUUCUUAAUAUGUAAAUAAUCUGAAAUCUGUUGUUUGGCACAAUGUAAGUCAUGUUUCUGAAUUUAUGUAAUACACACCUUGUCACAUAUUAAAUGCAUAUCUUUAAUUUGGUAUGUGCAAUUGCUUUGAAAUUUUUAUGGGAAUGUCACAAUGCUAUACAUGUGCUUCUGUAAUUUUUGUAGAGUUUUCUGAGCACAUUUGCUAGUAUCUUAUAAUUAAGUCCUUUUAUAGAAUUAAAUGGUUAAAUGCAUCAUUAUUAAAUAUCUAGGGGUUAACAUAUGUCGAUCUGGUAACCUUGUGAUAUGCUUGUGCUUAUAAGUCAUGUGGUUGACACUAUUUAUGCUUUGGCUAUGUCUUUAAAUAAUUAAUUGGUGGGUUAAAGGCUGUUCUGGACAGCAAGGGAGUAAUUCAACUUUUACUUAUUGAUAUCUGAGUUUUCUGGGGAACUUGUCUAAAUCAAAGUUGUUGUAAACUUCAUGAGCUAGCUGUGGUUUAAAUUUGGGAUCAAUUGGUCCAGUAGUUUGAAAGUUAUGGCUGUUCCAAGUUGGGUUCCAGAAAUGGGUACUCUUUGUUUUUCUGGGACAGAACCUGGAACUUUGUUUAAAUGGCUUGUUUAACUUAUGAAUCUUGCUGUGAUGUUUAAAGAUGAUUUGUAGACAAUUUCAUGAGCUUUCCAGAAUGUCUUCACUCAUGUUUGUUGGAUCUGCCUAGCACUAGUUAUGACCUGUUUACUGAGCUAAUCCUGUUAUGUGAUGCUUGCUGUUCUAGUACUUGGUAGAUUCUGAUCAGUUAACUUACUACCUUGUGUGAACUGUUAUAACCAUUACUCCGUAAAUGCGUGUCCAGUGAGUUUAUUUAUGUGUCAAGCAUUCAUCCUCUUUUAUGCAUCAUCUUAUUAGUUGAGCAUGCAAUAGGUGCAUCGGACGCGACCGCUUCCUUCGAGCUCCAAGCGAACCCCGAAGGCCAGGAGGGCAGCCAGGAGGUGGAGGUCCAGCUAGUCGGACUCGAGGAGCCCGAAGAAGAAGUUGAGUGCCCAAACCACGAGCCAGCCUCGUUCGUGAAAGGCAAGCCCCGGAGCAUCCUAAGUCUCCCUUUACUUUCAAAAGUUUACUUGAAUAUGUUAUAUUUAUUGAUGCAUUAAGUAUAGGAGUUGUGAUGAAACCUUUGCUGCACUUUACUCCAUCCUUGUCCAGAUAACUUACCCUACCCUGGUUGUAGAGUUAGGAUCGAGUAGCAGCUUAGCCAUGCUUAAUCGGUAGAAGUCGGGUGAUUUCCUGUCACCUGCGCGAUAUAGGGUUGUGUCGGAUCACGAUGGACUAUAUGUGCUAUCGUGGGUGGAACCGGAUUAAUUUGACUUAAGCAGGGCGGAGUUUUGCAAGGUUGUAGUAACUCCGUCUGUGGCAGCUAAGGACCGACCGUUGUACGUCCUCUUGUCAUGUUGAACGCAUGCCUGACACUUAGUUGGCUGGAUAACUCGUUCCGACCGCGAAGCCGAGUAAUAUGACUCAGGCCGGAAGACCGGCAAGUAUAAAGUGCGCACUACCGGAGGAAGUGCGGUGUGCGGGGGACCAUUGGCGUAAGCCCAAAGGCAGGUGAGUUAAAAUUCCUGACCUCCCUGGCAGAGUGGUAGCCCUGGGAGUGCGGCGCUGAUCGGAGCCGCAAUUCCUGAGUCGUACCAAAGGUGACCUAUUGGCUCUCGACGGGGGAUGCUUGGGUGAGUGCUAGGAAUACCCCUCCAGCUGGAUAGGAAUUCGAUUCGAAUCGCCGUCUCUCCCGGUCAGUGAGAACUUGACAGAGCAGCGGCAAACGUAGCAUUCACUAAUGAACUUGGUUCAUGAUAAUGAUGUGUGGCAGAACCCCCUAAGUGUUUGGGCCCACCGGCACCUGCCAUUGUCCUAAGGACCUCUGACGGUGAUGCCGGGAGUCCUCCCACUUUAGAAGUCCGAUGAGUCUUACUGUGCGCUCAUUCCACUGCUACCUGUGGUGUACCAAGCUGACUCGUCCUGACCACUGAUAAUGGUCAACAACGAGAACUGCUUCUUCUCGCCCUUACAGGAUAGCAAGUGGCCACCUUAACACCAGGAUCAUUCGUUGCGAAGAUAAAGCAGUAACACAACGACACAAGACCAAAAUAGUAUUUCAGAGUGAAACAGCGGAAGUAUUACAUAACAUAAUUUACAAAAGGAGUUCUUCCAAAUAACAGAGUGUUAUUACAAGCCUGGUCCAGCGGAGCAACUUAAACUUUAGUAGAGACAAAACAAAUUUACAGACCCUACCCAUGGGUCACGCUCACUCUUCUUCGUCGUCAACCUCGACGACGGUCACACAACAGGGUCCGAAACAAGUCGGCUCCUGAGCUUCACCUGCAACAGGGGUAUUGAAACCCUGAGUACGGGAGUACUCAACAAGACUUAUCCGACAGAAAAAGAGGAGAAUUUAGGGAUGCAGGCUUAGGGUAGACAAGGUGUGGCUGAGCAAGGAGCCAAAGUGUUUUGCGGGAAAGCUUACUAGUAGUGCAUCCUUAUUUUCAAGUUUUACCCUGAAUUCCUCCCUUGCGGGGGCAGAAGAAUUCGAGGAUAGUCUAACUAGUUGUUCCCCACAGACGAACCCGUGAGUUCCUAAUCCUAUCAUUAAGUAUUAUUUAUUGAUGGUCAUAGCUUCAUGUCGCUAUGAGUCCGGGAAUUGGGAUCCGAACCUCAUGAGACAUUUUCCCCUUUCUCAUUAUAUCACUUAGUUGCAUAUUUAACUACGAUGAGGGUCGAAGGAAUUGAGUCUCCCAAUCGGGGAGCAACGACGAUUCGAAUCGCUUAGCAAUCCAGCUGGAGUUCCUAACCACCCGACAUAUGUAGAACCAAAUCUUGCAUAUAUCAACCCAAAUCAAGCUCUCCCCAAAUUUGACCAGGUUCGCGGCACCCGAGAGCACAGUACCCCACCAUCCUACAGCCGAUCUAGAUGUUUUCCGGUCAUCUCAGAUCCGUAAGGUGGGUACACACUACUCUCGCCAUCUUUCCACUCCCAGUGCGCGAGUAGCUGUUCGCGUCGAGGGAUCACGAGACCGGGCUUACCCGUGGCAAGUGGCUAGUACUAUAAAUUCUCAACCCAGCAGGCCAUCAACGGACCGGUCCUUAACCGACACAGUUGGAGACACUACUUUAAGACUCCAUUCUUAAAGCAAGUCCACCGACCGGUCUCAAGUUGAAAUAUCAUUGGCCAUAAGUGUAUCCCACAACAACCCUUCAAACUUUCUUGUUUGAAAACCUAUCUAGUAGCAGGGCUAAGCAUCGCUACGCAGUUUUAAAAUAAAACAGGUGUCAAGGACAGGAUAACAAAUAUCAAGGUAGUAAAUGCAGCAAGUAGGUUAACCCAAUUCUCAACUACCUAAUGCAGCAUUUUCAAUUCAUAAGUGAUAAAAGAUUUAAAACAUCCAAGGAGGGGUUAAUGCAUCCGGGGCUUGCCUUGGUUGCAGGGCAGAGAGGGACCCUCGGAGACUUCCCAAGUCUCGGAUCCGACUUCCUCGAACGGAGCACCGACCUCAGGGUUUGGUUCAACGGGCGCUCCUUCGGUCACGGACACUAUACGCAAAAUGAUGAAUGCUUAUGAUAUGCGUAUGGCAAAUAUGCAAGAUGGACCGAAUUAAGUACGAUUUGCCUAUUUAAUGCAAUACAGAAUUGUCACUAAAUAAAGUUGUUUAAUAACUUAAUAUUUUUACCCAAGAGGUUUCAUCUGUAAAUUAAGACUUUACUUAAUUCAUAAUUAUCUUACAUUAAGUAAUUAUUAAACCUAUUUACCUUAAUUAAUUCUUAAUUAAUUACUAAUGACAGUAAUUAAGCAUUAAGGCUAAAUAAUAAUUAAAUGCCAAAGGUCAUUAGGGUUAAUGACCUUAGGUCAUCACACAAUCCCAAAAUCACUCAACCCUAAUUAUGAGGAUUUAAAUAAUCACUAUUUAAUUAUUUUGGAAUUAUUAUUUAAGUACUAAAUAAGGGUUUAUUAGUAUUCUAAUCAAACAUUAUCCAAAUGCCACCAAAUUUUGUGUGGAGCCAGGGAAUAAUAUCCAGAGGCUCCCCACAAUUUUUGGUGAUUUUUGGACAUACAAAUAAAUUAUUAAAAUUCCUAGAAGUUUUAUUCAUUAGUUAAAAGAGCAAAUUUUUACAAACAUGUAAACUACCAGAAAACAGAACUUAAUAUUUUUCUUGGGUUCUAUUUAUUUCAGAGAAUCUACACAAAAAUUUCCAUGAUUUUUGGAUUAGCACCUGAUUUAUUACACAAUUUCAAACAUCAAGCAAUUUUAAUCAAAAAGGAAAAAGAAAAACACCACUGCUGCGCAGGCGGCCCACUGGGACACAGCCCAAGUCGGCCUGGGAGCGAUCUCCUGCGCGCGCUGCGGCCCACAACGGCGCUGCGCAGGCGGACCCCUGGUCCGGCCCAUGCGGGCGUCGCGCGCGCGCUCCCCUCCUCUCUCGUGGACACUGACGAGCGGGCCCCGCUCGUCAGCUCCGUCUCCCUCGCAGACGGCGGCCCUGCCGCGCUCCCGGCUGCCGCUGGUGAGGUCCCAGCCCCACACCAGGGUGCGCAUCGGCUGCGCCUUGAGCUUGCGACUCCAGAGGUACGGCCUGAGGACGCUCUACCGUCCUUCUCCUACCUCGGCCACGCGAAAGGCGGCGGCCGCCCUGGCCGACCGCCGGCCGGCCACUAGGGCCCGGUAGAGUGUAAACGGGUGGCCUAGCGAGCUUCCGCGGGAAUUGGAAAGAGUGGUGCUCACGCUGCAAGGCGCGGGGAAGCAGCUGAAGCCGCUGGUGACGGGAGCAGUGUCGUCGGGCGGGAGCUCUGGCUCCGGUGAGGUCGUCUCGGUGGCCCUGUUCACGUCCAAGGAGGGAAAACGAGCGCAUGAGCACCGGGGAAACAAGAAGAGCUCGAAACGACCGCCUUCAAGGCGUGGUACCGACUGGAGCAGCGUGUCCACGUGAAGGAUUCCUCGGCGGCGACCCUGGCCGGAGUUGGAGAAGAGAGGGGGUGUUCCGGCGAUUGAGUGGACUAGGGAGUGAGCUCGGAGGUGCACUGGGUUCGCAAGGAGGUGGCGGAUGCUAUGGACCGGUCAAUUUAGCUCGGGAAGGAUUGGUUGCGGUGAAUUGCAAAGAGAAGCUCGUCGGGUUCUCUGGCUCAGAACAGGGGAGACGCGCGGCGGCGCCCACGCUGGUGCUCAAAGGGGAGAAGGAGAUGAGCCGAGGGCGUCCACGUUGCCUGGCGACGCAGGCAAGCAGGCAGCUGCGUGCCCGCACGGGCGCUCGCGGUGCUGCGCGCACGGCGGCCGCGUUGGACAGGGAGCUAGUGAUCCCUAUCGGGUCACUGUAGCAACCCUUAUCCCCUCUUUUCUGAAUUUUGUGAAAUUCAGCCGAAAUUUGAACUGGAGUCAAAUUUGUGUCAAAACAAAAGUUGUUCCAAAUUUUAUAAGCUACAAAACAUGUUUUGGUGACCAGAGCUGAUUUUGAGUGUAACAGGGUGAAUUUGGCCAAAACAGUUUGAAAAUCAAACUCAAAUCAAAGAAAUUCAAAUUUUUGAUUUGGGGACAAAACAGGGUUUCCAAAAUUACUUUUGUUUUUCCUAAACAACUUGAAAAACUCCCAACAUGAAAGUUGCUCAACUUUUUGUGCUCUACAACUUUCAUGUUGUCCACUUUUCCAAAUUCCAAAUGGAUUUUGAAUUGGGGGUUUAAUUUGGAAAAGGGGACACUUUUCGGAAAUCUGUAUUUUCAAAAUUACUUUGAAUUUUGUAUUGAAACUUCAAAAACUCAAAACACCAAAGUUGUACAUCUUGCCAAGAGCUACAACUUUGCUUUUGAACUCAACCUCAAAUUUGGCUUAGUUUUUGAAUUACACAAAAGGGGGCAGUUCUAAGGUUCAAAAAAUCAGGGUUUUCCCCCCUUAGCUCUUCGGAAAUUUUUCACCCUAGGGUUUUAGCAUCCAACACAAGCAUCCAACACAAUGUAAGUACACUUUAAUUCCCUAAGCACAAGCACUCAAAGUAAACUUAUUUUAAAUUGAUGCAUACUAAUGUGCUUUAACAAUUAUGAUUUGCAAUGCUCAUGAUGACAUGAUCCGUUUUUAGUAACCGUAACAUCAGGGAUGUUACAUGAUGAUAGCAAGGAAGAACAUAUGAUGAACUUGAUAUGGUUAUUAUUGCUUGUAAUAAUAAAGUGAAGUGCUUUAGUACAGGUGCUAAUCUAGUGGUAGGCUGAUAUUGAAUAAAUAUGGGGCUCUCACAAUAACUUAGUUAUAAUGUAAGCUUUUGGCAAAUGUUGAGUCAACCAACUCCACUUGAUGUUAGCCUUGCAUGAUCCUUGGCGUCUUUUAUGUUUUUACUAGACGGGUAAGUCUAGCUGAGUACAUUCUCGUACUCAGGGUUAUUCCCACCUGUUGUAGAUGACAUCUUUUAUGACGGCUUCUGCAAGACCUGUCUCCAUCCCGCUAGGGAUGAGGACUAAUCGUUGGGCACGGUUCUCUAACAAACUCGUACCUGCUGCUUUUGGAUGGAUGGCAUGAGACUCUGGCAAUAACAAGAACUUGUGAACUGAACUUUGAACAAGUGUGUGUAAUUAUUUUACUUCCGCUACUUCAAACAUGUGUUGUAAUAACUUAAUAACUCUGAUGUGGUGCCGCUUCGACGGCAAUGAAUGACUAUGUAACCGUUGUGUUGUGCUGAAUUAUUACGAUCUUGGUUUGUUGCAAGUUGGUUUGAAGUCCUUCAUGAUUUUGAUUGACUACCGGGAUUAUAUGGGCUCAAGUUUGGAAACUUGAUUGCUGGCCGAUCGUUUCUACACUUGAACUCUUAUAAUUUGGUCGGUUCUGUGACAGCUGGUAUUGGAGCAAGUUCAGCAUUAUAAAUGCAGUGGUUGUGUAUUUAAAAAGAAAACAUAAGAGUUUCUAAAUAAAAUGGUAAAACAAUACUUAUGUUAUGCCAGUGGUCGAAUCCUCCUUGCCCAUAUAAGGACUAUAGGUGGCUAUUUAAGUACUGACUUGGGGGGUUUAAUUUUUCCAUCUCCGGCAGUACUCAGGUAUGGAUGUGUGAUGACCGCACUACGCUACCCUGUGGUCUAAUGGUGGAGGUAGCCUUCAUAUAUGAAUUAGCCACAUAUGUCGCUAGAUUUAAAUUAUGCAACGUCGCACCUACGCUCUGGUAAGUGUGAGCUGUGAGAGCAUGAUCGUCCAAACGGCGGUCUAGGGGAGUGUUCGCGGUGGUCUUCUGGAGUGGUUACAUGUCAAAACCAUGGAACCACGAAAAAAACUUAAUUGGGGAGUAUUUAAUUUCUCGGGUAGCUGUGGUGUCAUUGUUUGUGCAUGUUGGACAUGUCCAAGCAAUGUACACUUAGUUUACUGCUUUCUUGAGUGAUAUAUUGGGAACUGUUGGGCUGAAAUGAAGUUUUCUGUAGGUACUCUAACAGCGCACGUGUAAAUCACUAGUUAUCGUAUCGAGAGACGAAUGUAUGCCACCGUAUAUCCAUUAGAAUAUUAAUUUUCUAAGUUUGUGAGGACGUACGGUUCGUGCAUGCAUCAUGUCACAUUCACACUUACAUUCUGUCUACUCCUUCCCUUACAAUGUCAUCCCUUUUAAUUAAAUAAAUGUUGCUUAAACUAAUCCUCUUUCACCCAUGGUAUUCCUAUUCUUUUCCACAGAUGGACGCACCUGCUUCACCCGGUCCCAGUGACACUUUCUUGAGCGAGUUUGGCACUCCUACCUUGCUCUGGAGAGUGCUACAGUCGGUAGGGUAUACUGAGCCACCUCAGUAUUCUUGGUGGGAGUUGGAUAUGACAGGAGAGUUGCAGUGGUUUGCUGUGCAGGAAGUUGUCCCUCCACAUGGGGGCAAGCCUGCAUGGACAGGGUGGACCUGUAGCUCAGACGGGCAGACUCCUUGGGAGGCAGCUCAGGUUGCAGCCCAGACUAUCCUACUCGAUAUCUGUCAGAGGUGUGGCGAUGAGCUGACAGGAGGACCAGCGGCCUCAAUUCCCCGUGCUGACCCAGCAGCAGCGGAGUGGAAAUAGACUGAUGGUUGUGCUUUGGUCCGAGGCAGGGGAGAGCGAGCUGAUAGUUCUAGUCCUGCUAUGAGUGCUACGAUGGCUGUGCUCAAGCUGAUCAGUCAGCGAGAGGGCACCUAUGCACAGGUGAUGGUGGCUGUUCACCAGACUCAGGAGAUGCAAUGGAAGGCUGAAAAGCGUGCUCGCAAGUUUCGCAAGCAAGCUAGACUCUUGGAGCAAGCUCAGAAGGACCGCAAUGACUGGGAAGACAUUGCGGAGUACUGUAGGCAGCAGUGGGUGAAGGCCAUUAGGGAGAGAGAUCAUAAGCAGGAUCAGAUGAGUCAGUUGGAUCGAGAGAGGGAGACAGUGCAGGAGCGCUUGGUGCAGAUCACUCGUGAGAGGGACACUGCACUCCGCGUGUUGGAGAAUAGGCGCCGGGCAUGGGAGAUGCACCGAAUUCAGUCUCUUGAGCGGGAGAACUAUCUGUAGGAUCAGAUUGAGGCUGGUCUUGUGGAGAUUCACCGUCUCAACAACUUGCUACACCCUAUUCCUCGCCCUAUACCCGUGUAUCUAGAGGUGGGACCUCAGGUGAUUGUGGCCGAUGAUGAUGGUAUGGAGGUCGAUGGACCAGCAGCGGCUGCACCACCCUUGCACGAGGACGUGGAGGACGAGGAGCUUGAGCCAGUUAGCGACGAGGAUGGAGAGGCGAUCUUCGACGCUGACUCGGACGACGAGUCUAGAGUGUAGGGAGUAGUGGGUAGUGUUAUGUGAGGAUCUUCUGUAGUCUGGCAGCUAGCGGUGAUGCUUUUGUACCAAUGUUGUAAUCCAGAACUUUGACCUUGACUCAUGGCAUGUGCUGUGAUGGUGUAAUAACUUUAUGGACCCAAUGUGCAAUCUUAACAUGUUCGUUAUGUUAUGAUGAUGUUUUCCGUUGUGGUGCAUAUUGUGAAUAUCUCUGUCAUGUGUUGGAUUGGUGAUGUUGUUUUGUGGAAUUGAAUUAUUGUGCCUUUUCUGUAAAGCUAUUCUCUCGAAUACUUUCAGGCAUAAAUAUAAGUUCUUUUGUGGCAAAUCUUGUCAUCAUCAAUGCUCACUGACUUUGUCUUUACAGAUGCCUCGUGGCACCCGAGGUGUGGAACAGCGUGCAAACAUGAAUCCACCCCCUCCUCCACCACCAAAUCUAGCUGAGCUAAUACAAAUGAUGGUGGAAAAUCAGAGGAUGCUCACUGAGACCAUCAAUCGGAUGGCGAAUCUGGGUGGUCGUAAUGCACAUGAAGGGCCAGCUUCUAACCAGUAUAGUAGCUUCAAGGACUUCAUGGAUACGAAACCCCCACCUUUCAGAGAAGCUGAAGAACCCCUUCAAGCUGAAGAAUGGCUGAACACGGUGGAACAAAAGUUCCGCUUGCUGCGGUUGACGGAAGAUUUGAAGGCAGAGUAUGCACCUCAUCAACUGCAAGGUCCAGCAGGCAUCUGGUGGAAUCAGUAUCGGGAAGCUCUUCCAGCUGACACUGUGCUUGACUGGAAUAUUUUCCGUGAGGCUUUCAAGGGGCAUUUCAUUCCUCCUGGUGUCAUGGAGAUGAAGCAUACCGAGUUUAUGCAGUUGACUCAGGGCAACAAAACUAUGAAGGAGUAUUUGCAUGCUUUCAAUCAUUUGUUGAGAUACGCUCCUGAGUUUGUGAACACUGAGGCGAAGAAGAUUGCUAGCUUCAAACGGGGUCUUGGCCCCAAGUUGCUGAAGACUAUGGGCCGCACUAAGUGUGCAACUUUCAAUGAGUUUGUCAGUGAUGCUCUUACCCAAGAGAACUAUAAUACUGUGUACACUGCGACCAAGACUCGCAAGAGGGCUUUUGAAGCCGGGGCAUGGGCAUCUCAGUCCAAGGCUCCAGUGGUAGCUAGACCACCGGUUCGUGCUCCAACUCCUAACUAGCGGUAUCGCCCACCUGUGAAGAAGAAUGAGGCAAAGACGGGUUUCCGCAAGGGUUACUCCAUUGCUCUUCCUAGGGGUAACACAGGUCCCAACUAUGCCAAGACUCCACCUGCCAACCGUCCGUGCUGGAACUGCAAUCAGACCGGGCAUUGGCAGAGCAACUGUCCUUACCCGCGAAAGAAGGUCAAUCAACGAAACAUCUGUCAGGGGCGUGUUCACUACACCACUGUGGAAGCAAUCCCUGCUGGUGAGGUAGUUACGGCUGGUAAGUUUCUGGUUAACCAAUGUGAUGCACUUGUGCUUUUUGAUUCAGGAGCAUCACAUUCUUUUGUGAGUUCCAAAUUUGUGUCUAAGCAUAAUCUCAAGGCAUUUACACUUGAUAAGGGCAGUUAUUGUAUUAGUGCUGCUGGAAAUGAUAUUUCCACCAAUCAAUUGGUUUUGGGGGCAACUCUGGAAAUAGGAGGCUAUCAGUUUCUUGCUAAUUUGGUUGUUCUACCCGGUGUGGGCAUAGAUGUAAUUCUGGGGAUGAAGUGGAUGAGUGGUAAUGGAGUUCUUGUCGACACCACCACUCGUGUAGUGAUGUUGAAAGACCCGAAUACCAAGGAUGCAUUUCUAGUGCAACUCCCUCGUGAUAUUCAAAUCCAUAGCACUAUGAAUGCAGUUACAUCUAAGGCUAUUCAGGACGUUCCGGUGGUGUGUGAGUUCCCGGAUGUAUUUCCUGAUGAUUUGCCCGGGCUUCCUCUGGAUCGGGAUGUGGAGUUCAAAAUUGAAUUGAUUCCAGGUACCGCUCCUAUCUCUAGAAGACCUUAUAGAAUGCCACCCAAUGAGCUAGCUGAGCUUAAGACCCAGCUGAAUGAGUUGUUGAAGAAGGGUCUUAUCCGUCCUAGUUCUUCUCCAUGGGGUUGUCCGGCUAUCUUUGUGAAGAAGAAGGAUCAAUCUUUGCGCAUGUGUGUGGACUAUCGUCCCCUAAAUGCGGUGACCAUCAAGAAUAAAUACCCUCUUCCUCGCAUUGAUAUUUUGUUUGAUCAGUUGUCUAAAGCCAAGGUAUUCUCCAAGAUUGAUUUGCGAUCUGGGUACCAUCAGAUCAAGAUCCGUCCUGAAGAUGUACCUAAGACAGCUUUCUCGACGAGGUAUGGGUUGUAUGAGUAUCUCGUCAUGUCCUUCGGUCUUACAAAUGCACCUGCUCAUUUCAUGUAUCUCAUGAAUUUGGUGUUCAUGCCCGAAUUGGACAAGUUUGUGGUAGUCUUCAUUGAUGAUAUCUUAAUAUAUUGUUGCAAUGAAGAGGAGCAUGCAGAGCAUCUGCGUAUAGUGUUGUCGCGUUUGCGUGAGCAUCAACUUUAUGCCAAGUUCAGCAAAUGCGAGUUUUGGCUGAAGAAAGUACCUUUCUUGGGCCACGUCUUAUCUGAAGAAGGCAUAUCAGUGGAUCUAGCUAAGGUGCAAGAAGUGCUGGAUUGGAAGGUUCCAACUUCGGUACACGAGGUUCGGAGUUUUCUCGGUCUGGCUGGGUAUUAUCGUCGAUUCAUUCCGGAAUUUUCAAAAAUAUCCAAGCCUAUGACUCGUCUACUUCAAAAAGAUGACAAGUUUGUGUGGACGCCUGAGUGUGAGGAGGCUUUCCACAAGUUGAGGACAUUGCUGACAUCAGCUCCUGUCCUAGCUCAACCUGAUCUCGAAAAGCCCUUCGAUGUCUUUUGUGACGCGUCAGGCAUUGGUCUAGGCUGUGUGUUGAUGCAAGAAGGCCGCGUUAUCGCGUAUGCCUCACGCCAACUUCGAAUGCAUGUGGUCAAUUACCCUACUCAUGACUUAGAAUUGGCAGCAGUUGUUCAUGCUUUGAAAAUCUGGAGGCACUAUUUGCUGGGUAAUCUGUGUAAUAUCUACACCGAUCAUAAGAGCCUCAAGUAUAUCUUCGCUCAACCUGAACUGAACAUGCGGCAAUGACGGUGGCUUGAGUUGAUUAAAGAUUACAAUCUACAAGUGCACUAUCAUCCGGGCAAGGCAAACGUGGUGGCGGAUGCUUUGAGUCGGAAAGCGCACUGCCACUCUAUCUAAGUGGAAGAUCCGUUGUUGUCACAUCUUAUGCAUCCACUUGUGCUCAACCAGAUUUCUCUAGAGAGUACUAUUCGCAAUCGAGUCAUCGAAUUGCAGCAAACAGAUGUAGGCAUCCACCAUAUAAAGAGAAAAAUAAAGGAGAAACCAAGCAUUUCAGGGUCGAUGAGUACGGAAUUCUUUGGUUCAAGGAUCGACUAGUGGUCCCCAAAGACCGUGAGCUACGAAAUCAGAUCUUAUCUAAAGCUCAUUCAUCCAAAUUGUCUAUCCAUCCUGGUAGUAGCAAGAUGUAUCAGGUUCUGAAACCUUUGUUUUGGUGGACAAAGAUGAAAAAGGAGAUUGCUGCUUUUGUCGCUCGUUGUGACAAUUGUUGUCGUGUGAAGGUCGUUCACAUGAAUGCUGGUUUGCUUCAACCCUUGUCAAUUCCUGGUUGGAAAUGGGAAGAAGUCAGCAUGGAUUUCAUCGUUGGACUCCCAACUUCUGUUAAGGGUUACGACUCUAUCUGGGUGAUUGUAGAUCGUUUGACCAAGGUUGCUCGUUUUAUUCCAGUUUGAACUGACUAUCGUCCACAUCAAUAUGCGGAGUUGUAUUUCGAACACAUUGUUUGUCAAUAUGGUGUGCCUCGAACAAUCAUAUCAGAUUGUGGACCACAGUUCACUGCUCGUUUUUGGGAAUGUCUGCAUGAGCAGAUUGGCACUCAUUUAGUCCGUAGCUCUGCUUAUCAUCCCCAAACAGCAGGUCAAACUGAAAGGGUUAACCAAAUCCUAGAAGAUAUGUUGAGGGCGUGUGCUCUUUCUUCUAAAGGUUCUGGGUUAAGUGGUUGCCAUUAGCUGAGUUCUCUUAUAACAACAGUUAUCAGGAGAGUAUCAAGAUGGCUCCAUUUGAAGCCCUGUACGGUCGAAAGUGUCGAACCCCGUUGAAUUGUGUAGAAGUUGGAGAGCGAAGGUAUUAUGGCAUCAAUUUCAUGAACGAAGCAGAGCAGCAAGUCCGUACCAUCCAGCAACAUCUAGAAGCUGCUCAAGCUCGUCAGAAAAGUUAUGCCGACAAAAGAAGGAAGCCGAUUGAGUUUUCAGUUGGUGACCAUGUGUAUAUCAAGGUGUCUCCGAUGAAGGGUGUACAAAGGUUCGGAGUCAAGCGAAAGCUUGCACCUCGUUAUGUGGGACCUUAUCGGAUUCUCGAAAGGAAAGGGAAUGUGGCGUACAAAGUUCAACUUCCAGUUGCGCUUCGAGCUAUUUUCCCUGUCUUCCACGUAUCACAGCUAAAGAAGUGCCUUCGUGUUCCAGAGGAAAGAGUGGAAGUUCGGGAUAUCAAGUUGAAGUCGGACUUGGUGUAUGAAGAAAAACCUGUAGCGGUUCUUGACCGCAGGGAACGGGUGACUCGUAAUCGUGUGGUUAAAUUCUACAAAGUGUUGUGGAGUAACCACGAGGAAGAAGAUGCCACUUGGGUUAAUCCAUGGCAAAAGGUCUGCAUAAGUAACCAUGUGGCCAUUCCAUGGUGAGGACAAUCUGAUAUGUAUCCUUGAAAACGCUCUCAUGCUUCUUGAAUGGUUAUGUCUUCAGCUGUUGGAAACUGACAAUAUUUCUUCUUAAGGCAGCUGUCUUGCCCAUUGGGGAAAACUGUAACACCCCAGUGUUAUGGUUGCAUAAAUCAUAUGCAUAGCAUGAGCAUCAUCAUCUAUUCAAGCAUAUCAUGAUCAUCAUCUAUCUUGAGCCAUGUCAUUCCAUGCAAAUAUGUGAUUUAAAUUGUUUAAGUAGUCUUCCUAUGCUUAUGCUUGAGUGAACCAUGCUUGUGUUUAUGCUCUAUGCCUUGGUACUUAGUUUAUCUUUGCUUAACUCAACCUUGGGAACAAUGUUCAUGUUGAUCACUUCUCCAAAAUAAUCACAUAAGUCAUACUUAUACAAAUAGGCUCUAGAAACCUCUUUUGCUUAGGCUUUUAAAAAGUGUUUCAUAAAUUGUUUGCAUGUCAAAACUUUCUACAGAAAAGUUGUAGAAAAUUUUAUAAGGAACAAAAGUUGUUUUAUAGACAUCUCAUGAAAAUGACCACAUCUAGCUCAAAAUUGACCCACAAGGAAGAUUUGGGGCUGUUUCCAACACUUAGGAAAUUUUUCUAAGUCCUGGAAUGAAAACAGUUUGCUCGAUCGGUUUUGAAAACUCUAUAUCUCUCAAUCAAGGACGAUCAGGCUUUUGCUCUAGUUGACAAUGUUGUAGAACUCGAUUGGAACUCCAACUUUGUCAACUACAUCAUCUUCUAACUCAGGCUGGUUUGGGAGUUAUUCGUUGCUGAAGUCGCUCUGUCAGUCGGUCAUCGUGUUCUCUGAAUCAGACGCGAGCUCGCCGACGUGGCCGACCGGCGACAGAGCAACGGCGACAUUUGGCACCCAUACGCCGCUCCUGGCCCCGCUCGUCAGCUUCCAGCGUGCGCAUGUCCUCCACGGCGACGCCCCGAGCGGAGUGGACGCGUCCAUUUAAUCUCUGCCUCGCCUCUCUCGCCAGAAGCGCGCCCGCAGCGAGCUCACCGUCGCGAGCUCACUCCGGCGAGCUCGUGUGCGCUCCUCGCUGCAUCGCAGUCCACCAAACUCCACCCAUAGCUCCACCGUGAGCCGCUCUCCACUCUCCACCCUCUAGCUCGCCGCGAAACCCACCGGUGAGCCGCCAUUUCCUUCUUCCCCCAAAUCGGGUCGCCGUGACCAUCUUUUCCGGCGAACUCAAUGCUGGGCUCCUCGGAGCCUCCCAUCUCCUUUGGUUAGGUUCUAGAGGUAGCUUAGGUCCUUAGCUAGCGGUUGCACCUCUCGGUGGACGCUCUACCGCACCCACCGUCGCCGGACACGAUGCGCAGCGCCGCCGUGUUUCCGUCGGAGUUGGGGUCUUCCGUGGCCAGCACAUUCCACGACGUUUCAAGCCAAGCCGCGUACCUAGGAAGCUUCGCCGUAGUCCGCUGGUGCUGUAGGAAACCCUAGGUCACGCUCUAGCGGCCUGAGGGCUCCGGCGUAACGCCGAGUACCUCCGCCGAGCCGCCAUGAUCGACGGCGAGCCAUUUCCGGUGGCUCCGCCGUGGGGAAAAGGGGGUCAAUCGAGUCGCUAGAGUCUGGGGAUCACAAUGGUGCCCUUGGUUUGGCCGGAGACCUCACUGUCGCGGAGAAAUCGCCGGCGAGAGUCGCCUCGGCGGUGAGGAAGAUGACCCUGACAUGCGGGGUCCAUUGUCAGUGUCACCUCACUUCCCUCCUUUUCUUUUAUUCAAAUCCUAAUUUUUGGCUUUCUUACAAAAAUCAUAUCUCCAGUUUCUGAGAUCCAAAAAUUGUGAAACCAAUUUUGUGGUAUUCCUUGAGAUGGCUAGUAUUUAAUAAAAAUAUAAAAUGAACCAUGUUUUCUGAGAAAAAUAUUUAUUAGGAUUUAAUCUUGUUAUUCAUGAGUAAAUUCAUAUCUCUUGUUAUACUGCUUAUUUUGCUAUGAAAUUUUUAUGGUAGUCUCUAUGUGGUACUAGAAGGCUUUGAUAAAUAUUUCAUGAUUUGUGGAGUACUGCAGCUUUGAUAUGUAAUUUAUGUUUGAGAUUUGUCUUGUUUCCUUAAUUAAAUCAUAUAAAAUAAUUGGUGCUUAUGCUGGUGCUCUACUUUGGCGGUAAAUAUUCUUAAUAUGUAAAUAAUCUGAAAUCUGUUGUUUGGCACAAUGUAAGUCAUGUUUCUGAAUUUAUGAAAUACACACCUUGUCACAUAUUAAAUGCAUAUCUUUAAUUUGGUAUGUGCAAUUGCUUUGAAAUUUUUAUGGGAAUGUCACAAUGCUAUACAUGUGCUUCUGUAAUUUUUGUAGAUUUUUCUGAGCACAUUUGCUAGUAUCUUAUAAUUAAGUCCUUUUAUAGAAUUAAAUGGUUAAAUGCAUCAUUAUUAAAUAUCUAGGGGUUAACAUAUGUUGAUCUGGUAACCUUGUGAUAUGCUUGUGCUUAUAAGUCAUGUGGUUGACACUGUUUAUGCUUUGGCUAUGUCUUUAAAUAAUUAAUUGGUGGGUUAAAGGCUGUUCUGGACAGCAAGGGAGUAAUUCAACUUUUACUUAUUGAUAUCUGAGUUUUCUGGGGAGCUUGUCUAAAUCAAAGUUGUUGUAAACUUCAUGAGCUAGCUGUGGUUUAAAUUUGGGAUCAAUUGGUCCAGUAGUUUGAAAGUUAUGGCUGUGCCAAGUUGGGUUCCAGAAAUGGGUACUGUCUGUUUUUCUGGGACAGAACCUGGAACUUUGUUUAAAUGGCUUGUUUAACUUAUGAAUCUUGCUGUGAUGUUUAAAGAUGAUUUGUAGACAAUUUCAUGAGCUUUCCAGCAUGUCUUCACUCAUGUUUGUUGGAUCUGUCUAGCACUAGUUAUGACCUGUUUACUGAGCUAAUCCUGUUAUGUGAUGCUUGCUGUUCUAGUACUUGGUAGAUUCUGAUCAGUUAACUUACUACCUUGUGUGAACUGUUAUAACCGUUACUCCGUAAAUGUGUGUCCAGUGAGUUUAUUUAUGUGUCAAGCAUUCAUCCUCUUUUAUGCAUCAUCUUAUUAGUUGAGCAUGCAAUAGGUGCAUCGGACGCGACCGCUUCCUUCGAGCUCCAAGCGAACCCCGAAGGCCAGGAGGGCAGCCAGGAGGUGGAGGUCCAGCCAGCCAGACUCGAGGAGCCCGAAGAAGAAGUUGAGUGCCCGAACCACGAGCCAGCCUCGUUCGUGAAAGGCAAGCCCCGGAGCAUCCUAAGUCUCCCUUUACUUUCAAAAGUUUACUUGAAUAUGUUAUAUUUAUUGAUGCAUUAAGUAUAGGAGUUGUGAUGAAACCUUUGCUGCACUUUACUCCAUCCUUGUCCAGAUAACUUACCCUACCCUGGUUGUAGAGUUAGGAUCGAGUAGCAGCUUAGCCAUGCUUAAUCGGUAGAAGCCGAGUGAUUUCCUGUCACCAGCGUGAUAUAGGGUUGUGUCGGAUCACGAUAGACUAUAUGUGCUAUCGUGGGUGAAACCGGAUUAAUUUGACUUAAGCCGGGUGGAGUUUUGCAAGGUUGUAGUAACUCCGUCUGUGGCAGCUAAGGACCGACCGUUGUACGUCCUCUUAUCAUGUUGAACGCAUGCCUGACACUUAGUUGGCCGGAUAACUCGUUCCGACCGCGAAGCCGAGUAAUAUGACUCAGGCCGGAAGACCGGCAAGUAUAAAGUGCGCACUACCGGAGGAAGUGCGGUGUGCGGGGGACCAUUGGCGUAAGCCCAAAGGCAGGUGAGUUAAAAUUCCUGACCUCCCUGGCAGAGUGGUAGCCCUGGGAGUGCGGCGCUGACCGGAGCCGCGAUUCCUGAGUCGUACAAAAGGUGACCCAUUGGCUCUCCGACGGGGGAUGCUUGGGUGAGUGCUAGGAAUACCACUCCAGCUGGAUAGGAAUUCGAUUCGAAUCGCCGUCUCUCCCGGUCAGUGAGAACUUGACAGAGCAGCGGCAAACAUAGCAUUCACUAAUGAACUUGGUUCAUGAUAAUGAUGAUGGCAAGGAAGAACAUAUGAUGAACUUGAUAUGGUUAUUAUUGCUUGUAAUAAUAAAGUGAAGUGCUUUAGUACAGGUGCUAAUCUAGUGGUAGGCUGAUAUUGAAUAAAUAUGGGGCUCUCACAAUAACUUAGUUAUAAUGUAAGCUUUUGGCAAAUGUUGAGUCAACCAACUCCACUUGAUGUUAGCCUUGCAUGAUCCUUGGCGUCUUUUAUUUUUUUACUAGACGGGUAAGUCUAGCUGAGUACAUUCUCGUACUCAGGGUUAUUCCCACCUGUUGUAGAUGACAUCUUUUAUGACGGCUUCUGCAAGACCUGUCUCCAUCCCGCUGGGGAUGAGGACUAACUAUUGGGCACGGUUCUCUAACAAACUCGUACCUGCUACUUUUGGAUGGAUGGCAUGAGACUCUGGCAAUAACAAGAACUUGUGAACUGAACUUUGAACAAGUGUGUGUAAUUAUUUUGCUUCCGCUACUUCGAACAUGUGUUGUAAUAACUUAAUAACUCCGAUGUGGUGCCGCUUCGAUGGCAAUGAAUGACUAUGUAACAUUCGCUGUGUUGUGCUGAAUUAUUAUGAUCUUGGUUUGUUGCAAGUUGGUUUGAAGUCCUUCAUGAUUUCGAUUGACUACCGGGAUUAUAUGGGCUCAAGUUUGGAAACUUGAUUGUUGGCCGAUCGUUUCUACACUUGAACUCUUAUAAUUUGGUCGGUUCUGCGACAAAAACUUUGAUAGAAAGGCAUCUGACAAGUUCAUCCAGUUGUUGAUGUUAUCUUGAUGGGUGUAGAACCAUUUCCUUGCUUUCCCUUCUAGCGAGAAUGGAAAGAGGCGAAGCAGUAUGACGUCUUUGUCAACUCCGUUGAUGCGGAUUGUGCUUCCAAUCUCUAAGAAAUUCUACAAGUGUGCACUAGCAUCUUCAUGUGCCUUUCCACGGAAUUGUGUAGCUGUUGACGGUCCUUAAGUAUCAAAUUUAAUUAUCAAAUAAACAAAGAAAAGGAUCCAAAUGAAAUCAACAUCUAGACUUAGGGUUUUAUCUGACAGAAUUCCACGAGUUUUGGUGUUUGUCUAUUUCUGUAGGGGGUUAUCAGGAAAUAAGGAAGAAAGGCCCACAUGUCGGGAUUACAUAGAGAUAUCAACGCACCGCGCAAUUUUCUACCAUCUAGAAGACUCCAGAAGCCACGGGAAGGAAUCGGAGGCCGAAAGGGGCUAGGCCCAGGGCGCACGCCCUGGUGACCUGGGCGCCCGCCCCCUGCUGGAUCCUGUUCGGGACUCUCUUCGCACACGAUGUUCCACCAACCUAUUGGAUCAAGGAAAACAUAGUACCACAUCGCCUACCGACCCAAAAACGCAUAGAGGAGGAGGACUAUAUAAGGAGACCCCCCUGGCCCCUGGAGAAGACAAGAAAUUAUCAUAGAGAUUGAGGGGUGCCCUCGAAGGAAAACCUCUUCUCUAAAUAAUAUUUCUUUUUAGGAUUAGCAACCAAUGUAAAGUAGAAAUAGAUCUUCUAGUUUCUACUAGAUUGAGAGAGAUAGAGUGGAGGUGUGGAUCGGAGGAAGGCCGGCCUGUCGGUGUCUACUCCGAGUUGUACCUACGGGAUCAAGUCUCCUAACCCGAGGCUUGCUUCUAAGAUUCUUCAGUAAUUCGACUUCUAAUGCUAGUAAGUUCUUGUUUUAUUAUUCUUUGGUUUAUGAGUUUACUUUAAUCCUCUUCCGGUUGAGUAUUAGAGUAAUCACUUGCUAGCAUAAACGUGGUGUUUAGGCUAGGGUACUCAUAGAUAUCCCCUGACUAGCUGGACCGUGGUUGUAGCGAGGAACGUGACAUUUCCGAGUUACCUUUGUAUCCCAUAUCUUGUUAGCAGGACGGGUAGGUUUAUAGGUGCGGGUCGAACAUCCUUUGUGUUGUCUAGAUUCCGUGAGCCUCCCCAAUAGAACAGUAGAUCAUCCUUACCAAGGUUAGAACAAGACUACGGUUGCAGUCUUCUCUAUACAUCACUCACAUCGAGAAACAUUCUUUGUAGCCUAAAGGGAUAGUAGCAAUAGAUUUGGUUAGUUAGAUGCACCCUUUCUCCCAGUGGUAAAAAUAUAAAUACGAUACUCUGGAAAACCUCCCGGGUGAAAUGCUCACCGAUAUCCGUGCGCUUGCGGAUCAUUUCCUUACUGCGUUACCAAAUAUCAACAAGCAUUUCUGGCGCCGUUGCCGGGGAGAAAGACGGUUUGCUGAGAUAACUUUGAGUCUUGCUAUUAUCUUGUAUUAUACUUUUAUACUUUUAUUCUUUUAUCUUUUUAUUUUUAUCUUUAUGGAUAACUCAAAUUCCAUACCUAUUAUUGAAUUCUUUGCACCUUCGGAGACCAGCCAUAGACCAUGGGAGUCAACACGUCCUGCCCCUAAUUAUGAUCUGUGUCUGGAGUUGAUUGCAAUAGGUCAAAACCAACCCUUUUCUAUAGCUAAGGUCCUAUCUUUUAAUCAGGAAGAUAAUGCACUUUUAGCUACACCCAGGGAAUCUUUUAAUCUUUCAAUAAAUUCUGGUUUAGACCUAGCCCUACAAGACCAUGUUUUUUCUUGAUAUUUUCACAUUGAUCUUAAUCAUAUAACCUUUGGUAGAGUUCUUCUUUCUUUAUCUAUUAGUAAAGGAAGGUAUGUCUUCAUUCGUGGACAUCCUUCUUGCACUAGUCUUCAUAGAAAAAUCUUAGAGAUAGAGAAGGAAUCAUCUCCCAAACAAGGAAAGGAAGUUUCAAUAGCCGAUUUCCAAACAUUCCAAUCCCAUGAUUCGGCUAUCCAAUCCAUCCUUGAGCCUAAUAAUUUCUACUAUGAUCUUUCUCUUGAACCUCCCGAUGAUCCUAUGAAUCUCUCUAGACAUCCCAUGCAUAAGAGUCACCAAGACCACAAGGAGGAUCGAGAAGAGCAACAUUAAUGGCUAGAGGGCAUUAAAAAUCCAUGUGCUAUCACCAUUGAAUGGAUGGAUAAAACAAACUUGAGAGACAAUCCUAGAGGAAUUUUAAGCAUUCAUGAAGAAUCAUCCUUGGAGAUUGAGAAUGAGAGAAACAACAGUGAGCAUAGAAGUUAUUUCAUAAAUACCUUACCAAGUCCUUGCUCAUAUAAAACAUCUCCCCAAUCAAUUGGUCUCUCCAUCCUUACCACAUUUGAGAUCUCCAACCCCCUCUUCCUUUCUAUUUAUAAAAACUUUGAAAGGGCGGUUGUCGAUGCAUAUGUCUAUAAUAAAUAUUGCAGAUCUCGUUGAGUUGAUCUUGAUAUAGGUAGGUGUUGGAGGGGAAACCACUUCACCAACAUAACUUGAUGGUUUCCCAAGGACAAGCUUAGUGUCCUAAAACAAGCACCUAUCAGAUUGUGACAUGAACUUCUAAUUUUUUGCAACAUUGCCUUGUGUAUUGAGCAUAUAAAGAUAAUUGUAGAAAUAUUCCUUCGGGUAUUCGUGUCAUUAACCUUUCUAGGAUCGGAGCAAGAAGAUCCGAGGAAUGACAAGCGCAAGGUAUGCCCAACCAAUCAUCAUGCAACAUUGAAUUAAAUUCAUCCAAUCUUGAAUUUUGCAAAAUUCAAGCUUGGGGGAGUACUUUACAUAAAACAACAUUUGCCAUGUUCCUAUGUUGGUUGUCCUUACCUUUGAGACAUGCUCAAUUUGUUAAAUACUAAUUACACUACUUCAUCUCCACUUAAGUAGAUCUCUAUAAAUGCUCUCAUGCUACCUUUAUUUGCUUUAGUAUAUGUCUAGGUUUGGAAUAGUUUCAUUUAUCUAUUAAAUAAGCAUGGUGCUUAGUUUAGGAAUGAUGAUCUUACUUCCAAGGGAUUUUAAAUUAAGCAUGGUGCUUAGGUUAAAAUGCCCUCCUAAAUCAAAUUAGACAUGGUGUCUAGGUUGAUUUUUGAGCUGAUAGUAUGCUAUAGUAGAUAUUGGAUAUUUUGUUGGACUAACCCCUGCAGGAAAACUUUCAAUAUCGACCUGGGAAGUCCUGAGAUACAAACUCAUUGGAGAUAAAGGAGACACAUGAAGUUUAACAAUUUGCACAAGAAAGACGUAGCUCAUAAGAGAUGAUUCAUGGAGGGUGCCACAAACACGAUGCACAACCGCUAAGAAAGGAAAGCUUCCACAAGGUGAUACUAUACCAUCACUCUUCAAGUAAGGUAACAUCUUAAGGUACUUGACUAUCGCUUUUAUAAGCUUCUCCUUGGUUCUGGCGUUCACGUAAGAUAAAGAGACAAACAUGUAUGAUUUGUAACUCCAAAUUAACCAACCCAAUUAAUUCAACAUGUUUAGUCCUUUAAUCUUUGUUCUUAGUAUUACCUUCGUGAACCCACGCCCCUAAUCAUAUAAGCUAAUAUGUUGCACAUUCAAUCUUUGGAAGAUAUAAACAAAACAUAUAUAUAGAUAGAUUAUCUUUCCAUUAGGUCAAGCAAUCUGAUCUGACAAAUGUUUCAAAUACUACACUCACGAUCCAUCAACUUUGUCUUGCUCACUAUGCUUAAGGUUAGAGAAGAACAAAUACACUUUUGGUUCUGUUGGUGUUUUCCACCAACAGGGCCCAUGCACUUGAUCUCUGCCUUGUCUCUAUGAAUAGGUACACAUCAAACAAAAUAUGGAGGAGUUUUACAACUCCAAGAUUCCACCAAGUGAAGAACCGGGAUCUACGAGCACAAACACAAUGGAGAUCAGACACUUAGUUUCCCAAAGGAAAUAUUGAAGAACCUCUAUGUCCGAGUUGGUACCUUGUACGCUCCAGCAAACGUCGUGGUGAUAGAGACUGGUACUGAGGAGAGGGCACCCAUCAUCUUAGGGAGGCCAUUCCUAAACACCAGAGCUGUCAUCUAUGCUAAUGCUGCCAAGAUCAGUUUCUACAUCAAGGGGAAGAAGGAGACUUUCCUUCAAGAACAAGACUACACAAACUUCAGAGCAACCCCGACAUGAACCAAGGAAGAGGACCAACAGGAGGAACAGGAACAAGCAAAUGUGGACCGAGUCAGCUAAGAUGGUCACUGCAGCUUAAGGAGGUCAAGAUCGUCGACUCAAGUCACCUUUCUUGAUCAAGAAGGACGACCCUAGUGUUCCAAGCAUCGAGUGCGCAAUCAAUGGAUACUCUUUUCACAAGACACUCUACGACACCGGAUCUGAUGAUAACAUAAUGGCCGCAGUCACUUAUCAGCUCCUGCAUGGAACCAUGCCCCUACAACCAAUAUAUAUUCAGCUCCAGAUGAUUUUUAGAUCAUUGACAUGGUAGAAGACGAGUAUGAUCCACCUACCAUCCUUGGAAGACCGUUCCUCAAAUACUAUCAAAGCCAUCAUCUAUAAUGGAACCGGAGAAGUCCACAUGCACUUCCCCUCUAAGAAGGUACGCCACUACUUUAAUGAUUCUAACUAUAUAGUUGAAGAUUCUAAGCAGGUCAGGACAAGAAGAAGACAACACAACCGCAACCAGAGGAAGCAAAUCAUCAAGGACGGAUAGGUAGACUACGAAGGAGAAGUGAUAAGGUCUGAAGACAUAUAGCUUGAACAGAACUGUCCUGAGGAGACUGUAGCACCGAGUCAGGUGUGGAGAGAGAAGAUAGCUAUACACAAAGAGGAGGCGCCGCCGGAACCACCGACUACAAACACAAGGAAUCCCAUUCGGAGGAUUUAAAAACACCGAACGCCUUGCCAGGAGGUAAACUUGGUAGUUAUCCUUUUCCAUUUAAUAGUUUGCUUAGUUAAUCAGGUUCAUGCUAUCUUAAAAAGAAAAUAAAAAUGUUAAAAAAUAGUAAGCCCCAUGUGAGUAUGCUCAUGGCAUAAAACCCAUAAGUACAUUCACUGUGGUGGCAUAAAAAUAAAAUAAAUAAGUUUUCAUCUUACAAUAAAAAAUAUAAAAAUAAGAAGUGCAUGAUCCUGCUAAAUAAGUAACAUUUAUUGAGGAGGCUCAACAUGAUAAAGGCUAGAUAUUUAUGCUAACACUUAACCAGUUCCACAAAGCUUUGUUGUAUAUUUGAGCUCCACAGAAUUCAAGGAUCAAAGAAGACUAGCAGACGGAGGACAUCCUGAUCGAUGUCAGGGUGCUGCCGACAUUCAAAUACACCUCCACCACCUACUAGCUACAUCAGAAGAAAUUACGUCAAAAUCCAGCUUGGGGGAGAGCACCCCAUUUAUCCAGCUAAGUGUUUCUACUCGCGUUUAUACUUUACUCAAAUAAUAAAAGAUGCAUAAUCAUGAAAACCCAAAUAAAGAUUUUAUGCUUUUAUAUAUUUUUGCUUAGUUUGCUAAAUAAAUAAAUAAAUAAAAUUUGCUAUGAACCCUCAUGAUAAACUCUCACAUGGAAAUGAUGAAUAGUUGCUCUGCCAUGACUAGUUCUAAAAAUUGAAAUCUCUAUCAAGUUUAGGCAUGACUGUUAUGAAGUAAGAUUUGCUCUAAACCUGAACUCGUGGGAAGAGUACUUGAUCUAAAAGUCUAAGUCGUUAACGGAUAUGAUAUGGGAAGGUUGAGCUGCUGUUUAUCUGUUCCUAGAGAUGCUAGAAUUCUGGAGAAUUUUAUCUUUGAAAAAUCUUUAAAAUAACACAUGAUGAGUUCCUAUAUGAUGAGAGUUUAAAUUCCUACCAUAGCCAUAUAUACAUGCUGGCUAGACUUUGAGCCACAUAUUUACUUUUUACUGCUUAUGAGCAUUGAGUGUGGUCAAGCUGUGUAGACCCUUAGGAGCUUGUCAUGUGGUUAAAAUCAAGAUUCACUUGCACUUUCACUCAUACAUGCUACUUCUACUCCAGAAGUACCAUCCACAUAUAUCCACUCAUUUCCAUCUCCACAUUCACCCGAAAUUAUUCUACUCCUAAUCCGGAGAGAAUAGCCAAAAAUAUUUUCCUAUCCCUGUUAUUCCCUGUGAAAUAAAUGCUCGAGUUAUCUUUGUUACUACCACUUGCUAUAUUAUUUAAGGAGAUGAGUGCUCUAAAAAAAAGAGAGGAAAAAUACGAGGAAAUAAAAAGGGGCAAGUGCCCGGAACCUCGAAAGAAAAGAAAAAGUAAGACGAGAGGUAAAAAUGGACAAGUGUCCGACAGUAGAAUUAGGGGUACAAGAUACCCACCUGAGAGGAAAGAAAAAGAAAAUAUAGAGUAUCUCAUUCUCCCUAAAAAGGUUCAACAAGCAAGGAAGGUAUGUAUCCCCUCAAAAGAGCAAAAGUAGAAUUAGACUUUCACCAUUAUUAUCACCAUCAUCACCAUACACCAUUCAUUCGCCACACAUGCACAUCUUGAUUUGACUUAUUGACUUAUUUCUCUGGAUCCAUGGUUUGACUAUGCAAUAAAUGUCUUGUAAGUAUGUAUUAGCUGUCUCCCACCUAUGAGCUCCAGAUAUCAGAACCUUAUUAGAGUAGGGUGAGAGAGAAGGCAAUAUCACUAUGCCUCAUACCAAAAAAUACCACAUACUUUGAGAGAAGGCAUAUACCAUUACUGUCUUGGUAAGGAUCCAGAAAUACCACAAAAGAGAGAUCUGAGAGAGUCAUAUAAGGAAUCUCUGAGUUUUAUUUGAAAAUUUGCAAAAACCCCAGAGCUAUAGCUGAUCAAGAAUAAGAGACAUGGCGCUUGACUUGACUGUUCUAUCUUUUAACUGCUCAAGACACAAGUGACGGUUACAAGCCCCAUGGUGAAAGGUAAAAUGAGUAAGUUUUAAGUCUUAACAGUUUAUUCUAACUCAGAGAUGAGAUCUUACUUGAAUGCGUGUGUACUUUUAAGGCAUGAAACCACUGCAGAAACUCUUGAGUUCACCUUGCUCAGGGACGAGCAAGAGGUAAGCUUGGGGGAGUUUGUUGACAGUCCUUAAGUAUCAAAUUUAAUUAUCAAAUAAACAAAGAAAAGAAUCCAAAUGAAAUCAACAUCUAGACUUAGGGUUUUAUCUGACAGAAUUCCACGAGUUUUGGUGUUUGUCUAUUUCUGUAGGGGGUUAUCAGGAAAUAAGGAAGAAAGGCCCACAUGUCGGGAUUACAUAGAGAUAUCAACGCACCGCGCAAUUUUCUACCAUCUAGAAGACUCCAGAAGCCACGGGAAGGAAGCGGAGGCAGAAAGGGGCCAGGCCCAGGGCGCCCGCCCCCUGCUGGAUCCUGUUCGGGACUCUCUUCGCACACGAUGUUCCACCGACCUAUUGGAUCAAGGAAAACAUAGUACCACAUCGCCUACCGCCCCAAAAACGCAUAGAGGAGGAGGACUAUAUAAGGAGACCCCUCUGCCCCCUGGAGAAGACAAGAAAUUAUCAUAUAGAUUGAGGGGUGCCCUCGAAGGAAAACCUCUUCUCUAAAUAAUAUUUCUUUUUAGGAUUAGCAACCAAUGUAAAGUAGAAAUAGAUCUUCUAGUUUCUACUAGAUUGAGAGAGAUAGAGUGGAGGUGUGGAUCGGAGGAAGGCCGGCCUGUCGGUGUCUACUCCGAGUUGUACCUACGGGAUCAAGUCUCCUAACCCGAGGCUUGCUUCUAAGAUUCUUCAGUAAUUCGACUUCUAAUGCUAGUAUGUUCUUGUUUUAUUGUUAUUUGGUUUAUGAGUUUAUUUAAUCCUCUUUCGGUUGAGUAUUAGAGUAAUCACUUGCUAGCGUAAACGUGGUGUUUAGGCUAGGGUACUCAUAGAUAUCCUCUGACUAGCUAGACCGUGGUAGUAGUGAGGAACGUGACAUUUCCGAGUUACCUUUGUAUCCCAUAUCUUGUUAGCAGGACGGGUAGGUUUAUAGGUGCGGGUCGAACAUCCUUUGUGUUGUCUAGAUUCCGUGAGCCUCCCCAAUAGAACAGUAGAUCAUCCUUACCAAGGUUAGAACGAGACUACGGUUGCAGUCUUCUCUAUACAUCACUCACAUCGAGAAACAUUCUUUGUACCCUAAAGGGAUAGUAGCAAUAGAUUUGGUUAGUCAGAUGCACCCUUUCUCCCAGUGGUAAAAAUAUAAAUACGAUACUCUGAAAAACCUCCUGGGUGAAAUGCUCACCGAUAUCCGUGCGCUUGCGGAUCAUUUCUUUACUGCGUUACCAAAUAUCAACAGUAGCUUGUACCAAAUUGAUGAGGCCUGACUUGAGCUCGAACUCGGGUGCUCCCUUCUUGUACUGCAAAUCUUGGACCAGUUGGAAUGUUCUCAAGUCUUGGAGCAGAGAAUUCUCGUAGGGUCUUUUGUGCCAUAGCUUCAGCAGUUGGUAGAUAGCUUCUUCUUUCUUUCUUGAUUGCUUUGGUUCUAAUGAUGAAGAGUUGAAUGUACCAAAGUUAAUCCUGAUGUACCCUGUAUAAAAAUAUAAACAUAGAAAAAUAACAGGGUGAACCUGCCAAAGCAGAGGUGCCUUGUUAUGAUUUCUCACUUAGUAGCUGUUUUUAUGCAAUUAUUUCUCCAUAGUCUAGUCUAAUAUUUUAUGUGAAUAACCUUGACUGACUUCCUGACUUUCCUUACCGCUCCCUAUGUGUUCCCCUUUUGUGUGGUCCCUGGCAGCGGCGCCAGAAAUGCUUGUUGACACUAGCUAACACCACUUAGAUACUAGGUUGUCAUCCCCAGCAUGGCGCCAGAGUGUACAAAGGUAUUUAUGAAUUAAAGGCUCUCUAGAAAAUAAUCUAUUCUAUCCGCAAGCGCACAGAUAAAACACAUCAUUGUAGCAUUUUAGCCGGUAAGUAUUCCAGGUAUCGUUAUUUAUAAUUUUGCCUAAGAGAAAAAGGAUUAAAUGGAGAUAAGGAUAAAAUCUAUCAAGGCAUAGACUAGAGAUAAACUUGCAAGAAUAUGAUUACUAAUGAGGAACUCGUCACACAGUCACAUACUUUGGUAGGGGGGUAAGCCAUAAUAAUAAUGAUAAUGAAGUAUAAGCUCUUUGGUAAAUAAUACAACGAUUAGAAAAUAGACUACUCCUCAUAUAUGUAAGGUGACGUCAGAUUAGCUAGAGAAUGGAUUCUAAGUUAUCUACUAUCUACUAAGUCAUAACCUACUCUAGUUAUCUACAAGAUCAUAUAUAGCAUAAAAGACUCUUCAUUCAUGUAUAAGGAACAUUUCUAAAGUAAAUCAGAGCAUCGCAAGACUUACUCCGCAAUACAAUUUCUGCCUGUCCUAUCAACAGAGGGUGGACUAUAUAAGAAUCAACGAAGCUGUCACUAUCGCGAACUACCACACGACCCGGCCAAUAGGAUAUAGUUGUAGGUAAAUAACAUCUAAGCACCACGCCCACAUGUGAUCUACCACUUAACUCCCGCGCGUCAAGAGCUAAGCGCUUUGCAAACUUAUAUAUAAACUUAUUAUCAAUCAUAACUAUAUCAAAUAUAGAACUAGAGCAAACUAAGAUCAUAAUAAAAAGAGACAUAAUGCAAUUAGAACAAAGUACUAGAGAAAGAUAUGAAAUAAUACCAAUCUUUAUUAGCGAAGAUCCGAAUCCAGAGGACUAGGCUCUACUUCUCUAAUUGCUAUCUAAUCAAUCCUCUAAACUUGAAGGAUUAGGUAGUAGCUAAUUCUAAUUCUCUGUGGGAGAGAUGUCUAAACCCUAACUUUGAUGGCUACCUCUAAUAAUGAUUUCUCCUCUCUCCCCCUAGGGUGGAGAGGCCUUGAUUAUAUAGUCCUCUCAAGUGAAUUUGGGCCGUCGGAUCAAACCGACAUUGAUCGCACGGUUUUCCUUGAUCCUUUAGGUCGGUGGAGCAUAAUCCAUGAGACGGGUCCUGAUUGGACUCCUGGCCAGGGCGGGCACCCAAGGGGGGAGGGCGGGCGCCCUGCCCCCGAGCCCGUCCGGUCUCCCGAUCGUUCUCGUGUCUUCUGGACACUUCUAGAUUGAGGAAAAUUGCGCGGCACGUGAUUAUCUCGAUGUAAACAUGACAUGUGGGCCUUCUCUCCAUAUUUUCUGAUAACCCGUGCAGAAAUAGAUAAACACCAAAGCUUGUGGAAUUCUAUCAGAUAAAACCCUAAUUCUAGAUGUUUGUUUCAUUUGGAUCCUUUUCCAUGUUUAAUUGAUGGUUAAAUUUAGUACUUAAGGACCGUCAAAAAGAGGAUCCCUCUAGUUCAUCUAGUUCUAGUUCUAGUUCAUCUAGUUCUAGUUCUAGUUAGUUCUAGUUGUAAUAUAGAAAAUAGAGAGAGAGAAGAGGAGAGCGGAGGAGGAGCCGGAUCUGUCGAAUCUUCCUCAACAUUGUACUUUUGCAGCAACUGGUUCGUUCUUCAUCGUUCUCCAAGUUCUUCAAUUCAUAAUUCUGGAGUUCUUUAAUAACUUUUAUUUACAUUCAAGUUAUUUAUUGGAUUCCCGCUUGCAUCAAGUGCUCCAGUCUUUUAAACGCUAGAGUAGUAAUUAAUAGAUUAGACGUGGUGUUUAGUCUUGCAAUUACCUAGAAUUACACCCAAUCCUAUGGAUUGUUGUGGUAGCACUAGGGUAGUGACAGCCCUAACGGUCGACGUAUUCCACCUCGUUCGGAUCGGUGUUUAUAGCACUGAAGUCAGAGCUUCCUAGCCCCCUUCUCAUCUCUUUCUGUGGUUAGUGUUCUGAUGUCUCUGUGGGGGUAUAAACCCCUAUACCCUCAUGGGCCUAUAUGGGCCGCACCAUCACAGGUGGCUCGACCCACAAGAUGAAGACGUGCGGCGCACGACUGGUCGGCGUGCACCGCAAGGCUACAAGAUUUUGUACCAAAUAGGAUACUUUGCUUGUAACUCUGUCCCUUCAGGAUAUAUAAGGAGGGGCAGGCGUCCCCUAGAGGACAAGAAAUACAUCAUAUUCUCUCAACACAAAUCAAUACAACCAGACGCAGGACGUAGGUAUUACGCCAACUCGGCGGCCGAACCUGGAUAAAAAGCUUGUCCGUGUCUUGCGUCACCAUCGAGUUCGUAGUUUGCGCACCGUCUACCGAUAAACUACUACCGUGGGUAUACCCCAAGGUAGACUGCCGACCAGCUUUCGUCGACAGUCUCGAAAUAAAUAAUCUUUGAAGUAAUUCUUGAUUCUUAGAUCAACUAGAGAACUCUCAGGAAACAUCCUCUCUUCCCACCAAAAAUAAUUAUAUAGUUAUCAUUGGGCGAUCUUGAAUCUUAAUUCGUACACUCACGUUCCCUGUGGAAAAUCGAUACUCUAGAAUACUCCCAGGUGAAAGCUACAUCGGUAUCCGUACGCUUGCGGAUUUUUAUGUUUGCGUUUAAAAUACCCAACAAGCUUUCUGGCGCCGUUGUCGGGGAACGGUAGCUGUGCUAGUUUCAAACCAAGUCGUCCGUGUAUCCUUUUUCUUUACCUUUUUUUACCACACUCACCAUACCAUUUUCACAAUACCACAUAGAUUUCACUCGAAACAUUAAUGAGCAUGGAAUUUAUUUCAUAGCCACUUCAUUUACUCCAUGCUCAUAUGCAACAUCUUCCCAAUCUAUUGGUCUCUCCAACAUCACCACAUUCGAGAUCUCUAACCCCCUUUUCCUUUCUAUUUAUAAAAACUUUAAAAGGGCGGUUGUCGAUGCAUAUGUCUAUUAUGAAUAUUGCAGAUCUCAUUGAGUUGAUCUUGAUAUAGGUCAGCGUUGGAGGGGAAACCACAUCACCGACAUAAAUUGAUGGUUUCCCAAGGACAAGCUUAGUGUCCUACAAUAAGCACUGAUCAGAUCGUAACAUGAGCUUUUAAUUAUCUACAACAUUACCUUGUGUAUUGACCAUAUAAGGAUAAUUGUAAAAAAUUCCUUCAGGUAUUCUUGUCACUAACCUUUCCAGGAUUGGAGCAAGCAGAUCGGAUGAAUGACAAGCACAAGGUAUGUCCAACCAAUCAUCAUACAACAUUGAAUUAAAUUCAUCCAAACUUGAAUUUUGCAAAAUUCAAGCUUGGGGGAGUACUUUACAUAAAAACUUCCUUUGCCAUGUUGCUUUAUUGGUUAUCCCUACCUUUGGGACAUGAUCAAUUUGUUAAAUACUAAUCACACUACUUCAUCUCCACUUGAGUAGAUCACUAUAAAUGCUCUUAUGCUUCCUUUAUUUGCUUUAGUAUAUGUCUAGGUUUGGAGUAGUUAAAUUUAUCUCUUAAUUAAGCAUGGUUCUUAGUUACGAUUGAUGAUCUUACUUCCAAGGGAUUUUAAAUUAAGCAUGGUGCUUAGGUUAAAAUGCCCUCCUAAAUCAAAUUUGACAUGGUGUCUAGGUUAAUUUUUGAGCCGAUAGUAUGCUAUAGUAGAUAUUAGAUAUUUCGUUAGACUAACCCCUGCAGGAAAACUUUCAAUAUCAACCUAGGAAGUCCUGAGAUAAACUCACAUUGGAGACAAAGAGAGAGACACGUGAACUUUAACAAUUUACACAAGGAAGGCAUAGCUCACAAGAGAUGAUCCAUGGAGGGUGCUACAAACACGAUGCACAACCGCUAAGAAAGGAAAGCUUCCACAAGGUGAUACUGUACCAUCACUGUUCAAGUAAGGUAACAUCUUAAGGCACUUGACUAUCACUUACCUUCUCCUUGUUUCUGGCGUUCACAUGAAUAAAAGAGACAAACAUGUAUGAUUUACAACUCUAGAUUAACUAACCCAAUCGAUUCAAUAUGUUUAGUCCUUCCACAUUUGUGAUCCCACACUCCUAAUCAUAUGAGCUAAAAUGUUACACACGCAAUCUUUGGAAGAUAUAUAUAAAAAAACAUAAGUAUAGAUAGAUUAUCUUUCCAUUAGGUUGAGCUAUCUGAUCUGACAAAUGCUUUAAAUGCUACACUCGUGAUCUUAUUAUCCAUCAACUUUGUCUUGCUCACUAUGCUUAAGGUUAGAGAAGAACAAAUACACUUUUGGUUCUGUUGGUGUUUUCCACCAACAGGGCCCAUGCACUUGAUCCCUGCCUUGUCUCUAUGAGUAGGUACACUUCGAGCAAAAUAUGGAGGAGUUUUACAACUCCCGGACUCCACCAAGUGAAAAACCUGGAUCUAUGAGCAUAAACACACUGGAGAUACUAGACACUCAGGCAAUCACUGCCCUGAGAUGCUUGAGGACGUAAAUUACAUCAACAACAACAACUACUACUACAACCGUCCUCAACAAAAUCAAGGUUGGAAUCAACAGAGGCCUAACUACUCAACUAAAUUAUCAAGGUAAUAAUUCUUACAAUAAUAAUAAUAAUUUUCUACCUCUGAGAGAGUUAGUGACUAAUCAAGGAAAGCUAAUGGAUAACCUUUCUAAGAAAUUGGCAUCUAAUGAUAAAAUGUUAGAAAAUAUAAAUAAUAGAAUGGAUAAUUUCUCUACUGCCAUCAAGAAUUAAAUUAGCUUGAAUAAAAUGAUUGAAUCUUAAUUAAAUCAAAUAGCUGCUGCUGUUCCUGCUACUAACCCCGGUAUACCAUCACAACUGGAAGGAUUAUAAUUUUCAAAUCUUGUAGACAUAUUUGAUGUAGGUAACUACUGGAGUAACCCCGUUGUGGAAGUAAUUACUGACCUUCUGCCGGUCAAGAGAGGUGAUCCAGGACGCCCCGUCAUCCCGAUCUGCAUUGGCAUGGUGGACUUCCCAGAAGCACUCUGCGACUUUGGCUCCAGCGUCAACAUUAUGCCCAGGGUACUCUAUGAAAAAUUCUUUACACAUCCUUUACUAGAAACAACCAUGUGUUUGCAGCUUGCAGAUCGGACACUAAGUCUCCCAAAGGGAAUAUUGAAGAAUCUCUGCGUUCGAGUUGGUACCUUGUACGCCCUAGCAGACUUCGUGGUGAUAGAGACUGGUGUAACACCCUAGGUGUUAAGCAUGCACUUAGUCUCAUAAACUCUCUCAUAAGCAUUCUCAUCAAGCAUGGCAUAAGCAUAACAUCACAUGAGCAUAGUAGUAAUUCAAGUAUGAUUUUAUGUGCUUAAUUUAUGUGAAUUAAAUAUGAUAAAAAUAGUAUGCUUGUUCCAAAAAUCCUUGUGAUGCCCAAAAUAGGUUGAAGUAUGUUUUAGAAGAAUUAAGAGUAAUUUUGUGAAAUUUUUGGAGCUAUAGAAUUUGAGAAAUGGAUUUUAUACAAAAAUCCCUAAAAUGAAUUUAUUGAAAACCUAGAACUAGUUUUGGUGCGUGAUUCAAAUUCUGUUUCGAAUUUGAAUUUGCAUACUAAAGCAAAGUUGUAGAGAAUUUUGUGGGGAACAUUUCUUGUUUUUACUCCAACCCCUGAAAAGAUAUGCAAAAGCUUCAAACAUCUCAUUUAAGCUUUUUGGGAAAAAAUAUUUUUUUAAAAAAGGAAAAGGGGGCAGGCGCUGCUGGGCCGAUCCGCCUCCCUUUCGGCUCAUCCAAGCCGUGCGGCCUGGCCUACCCUCCCCUCUCCCACGCGCGGAUGCCCGCCUCACUCCACCCGGCGCCGGCCACAUGGCGGCCGUACGCCGGCGUUGUGGACGCGCCGCUCGGCCGACCGGCUUACCCCGGUCGGGACGGCACCCCGUGACCCCAGGUGCCAUUCUGUCCCCCCCGCUCCCUCUCCUUCUCUGCUCGCGAGCGCAGCCGCAGCAGCAGCAACCACCGCGGCGCCAUUGCCGGUCGAAGCUCCGCCACUCGCCGCAGGCCGCGUUAGUGAACCGUUCUCUACGCCAAGACCACCGCCGUGUUCGCCUUCGCCGCGGUAAGCCCCUGCGCGCUCUACCAAGGUGAAAACUCUCCGCGAGCCCGUAAUCUCUCGUCGGAGUUCGCUCGACCUCGUCGGAGUGCUCCGCCGCGUCGAGGCCUUCCCGUUUCUGCCCUGUUUCGCUUGUGUUUAAGCGCGUUAGGUUCGGAGCGUGACGAGUAAGCUUACACGGUACCCCGUGCGCGCUCUACUCCACCGGAGUGGCCUGGCCAGGGCGUGCAGCGCCGCUGUGCCGCCAUGCACGCCAGCGGGGGUACUCUGGUCGUCCUCCGGCCAAUCCAAGGGCACCCUCGGGUGCGCCUCGCCGCAGGGAGCACGUUGGUGCUCACCCCGUGGCCGGAGACCUCACCGCCGACGAGAUCCGCUCGUCGGAGGUGCUCUCCCCCUCGGUCACGCUGACCAGUGGGGUCGGGGGCCCGCUGUCAGCCGCAGGGGGACCAAGGCGGGUAGAGAUCCGAGUGUUCCUAGCAUUUUUCAUUCCGGAUUUGAAAUGGUUUUCACAAAAUGUUUUCCCGAAAAUGAUUUAAAUGGUAUUAAAUCUAUAUCUUGAGAUCCAUGGCUCCAAAAAUGAUGAAAUAAGUUGUGGUGUGUUCUAUAAUUCCAGAUCUAUAGUUUGGUGUGGUUGCAUGUCACGUUUGAACAACUUUUCUGUACAAAUAUAUUUAAUCCAUCUCUUUGCUGAAAAUUGGAAAAUGCAUAGUAAUUAAAAUAUAACUCAGGAAAAUAUGAAACUUGUUUUGUUAGCUUUGCAUGGAUGAUUAGUCUCUGGAAAAAAUAUGUCACAUAUUAUUUGCUGUAUAAAUUAAUUUGUGGUGAUUUAAAUGAUUGCAUGGCAAUGGUUUAUGAUUUUUAAAAAAAUUGGUUCAUGCAAUUAAUCUGGAAAUUUUUGUGGGUGUUUCUUAUGUUAACAAGUAAUUUAUAAAAUAUGAAAUCUGUUGUUUGACACUUAGUCAAUAGUAAGGUAUUUAUACUUAAUUAUAUUGAGUAGUUUUGCAAUUAUUGUAGCCCAAACUAAGUGUCCAAAUAUUAUGAAAAAUUUAAGGUAGACUUUAUGAUUUACCAAUGAUCUACUGCAAUUUUUGUGGAAUUUAUUGAUAACCAGAAAUAUAUGCUACUGUUGUAGGCCCAAUAAUAGAUAAAAUAAAGUAUGAAUUGUUAUACAUAAAUCAAAUGGAACGAAGGGGUGUUUGGUGUAUCUUUGAAGCAUCAUGUUAGUUUGCUGGUUAACCAUGAAAGCAACUUGUAGAAGAGAAUGCAAUAGAUGCUUAAUUUGAGUACAUGUUCUUGGAUGAUGUUGACUACCUUAUAGAAAUAACCACCUAUGUCAUCUAUGCACCAUGUCAUGGUCAUCUGGUACCCACUUGCAUAAGCAUUGCACCCCGGGCAUCUCGCACUCCACUCAUGAGCACACAUGCAACAUGCGGCAGCGAAGGUGGCUUGAGUUGAUUAAAGAUUAUAAUCUACAAGUGCACUAUCAUCCGGGCAAGGCAAACGUGGUUGCGGAUGCCUUGAGUCGGAAAGCGCACUGUCACUCCAUCCAAGUGAAUCCCGAAGGCCAGGAGGGCAACCAGGAGGUGGAGGUCUAGCAAGUCGGACUCGAGGAGCCCGAAGAAGAAGUUGAGUGCCUGAACCACGAGCCAGCCUCGUUCGUGAAAAGCAAGCCCCGGAGCAUACUAAGUCUCCCUUUACUUUCGAAAGUUUACUUAAUAUGUUAUAUCUAUUGAUGCAUUAAGUAUAGGAGUUGUGAUGAAACCUUUGUUGCACUUUACUCCAUCCUUGUUCAGAUAACUUACCAUACCCUGGAUGUAGAGUUAGGAUCGAGUAGCAGCUUAGCCAUGCUUUAAUCGGUAGAAGUCGGGUGAUUUCCUGUCACCUGCGCGAUAUAGGGUUAUGUUGGGUCACGAUGGACUAUAUGUGCUAUCGUGGGUGGAACCGGAUUAAUUUGACUUAAGCCGGGCGAAGUUUUGCAAGGUUGUAGUAACUCCGUCUGUGGCAGCUAAGGACCGACCGUUGUACGUCCUCUUGUCAUGUUGAACGCAUGCCUGACACUUAGUUGGCCGGAUAACUUGUUCUGACCGCGAAGCCGAGUAAUAUGACUCAGGUCGGAAGGUCGAUAAGUAUAAAGUGCGCACUACCGGAGGAAGUGCGGUGUGCGGGGGACCAUUGGCGUAAGUCCAAAGGCAGGUGAGUUAAAAUUCCUGACCUCUCUGGCAGAGUGGUAGCCCUGGGAGUGCGGCGCUUAUCGGAACCGCGAUUCCGGAGUCGUAUCAAAGGUGACCCUUUGGCUCUUCAAUGAGGGAUGCUUGGGUGAGUGCUAGGAAUAACCCUCCAGCUGGAUAGGAAUUCGAUUCGAAUCGCCGUCUCUCCCGGUCAUUGAGAACUUGACAGAGCAGCGGCAAAUGUAGCAUUCACUAAAGAACUUUGGUUCAUGAUAAUGAUGAUAGCAAGGAAAAGUACAUGAUGAACUUGAUAUGGUUAUUAUUGCUUGUAAUAAUCAAGUGAAGUGCUCUAGUACAGGUGCUAAUCUAGUGGUAGGCUUAUGAUAAAUGAAUAUGAUGCUCUUACAAUAAUUUAGUUAUAAUAAAGGCUUUUGGCAAAUGUUGAGUCAACCAGCUCUACUUAUAUAUAUUAGCCUUGCUUGAUCCUUGGUGUCUUUUAUGUUUUACUAGACGGGUAAGUCUAGCUGAGUACAUUCUCGUACUCAAGGUUUAUUCCCACAUGUUGCAGAUGAUAUCUUUUAUGAUGGCUUCUGCAAGACCUGUCUCCAUCCCGCUGGGGAUGAGGACUAACCGUUGGGCACGGUUCUCUAACAAACUCGUACCUGCUGCUUUUGGAUGGAUGGCAUGAGACUCUGGCAAUAACAAGAACUUGUGAAAUGAACUUUGGAAAGUGUGUGUGUAAUUAUUUUGCUUCCGCUACUUCGAACAAGUGUUGUAACAACUUAAUAACUCCGAUGUGGUGCCGCUUCGAUGGCAAUGAAUGACUAUAUAACAUUCGCUGUGUUGUGCUGAAUUAUUAUGAUAUUGGUUUGUUGCAAGUUGGUUUAAAGUCCUUCAUGAUUUCAAUUGACUACCGGGAUUAUAUAGGCUCAAGUUUGGAAACUUGAUUGCUUGUCGAUCGUUUCUACACUUGAACUCUUAUAAUUUGGUCGGUUCUGUGACAUCUAUGAAAAAUUCUUUACAUAUCCUUUAUUAGAAACAACCAUGUGUUUGCAGUUUGCAGAUCAGACAUUAAGUUUUCCAAAAGGAAUAUUGCGGAACCUUUGUGUCCGAGUUGGUACCUUGUAUGCCCCAGCAGACUUCAUGGUGAUAGAGACCGGUAAUGAUGAGAGGGCACCCAUCUUCUUAGGGAGGCCAUUCUUGAACACCUCGGGAGCUGUCAUCUACGCUAGUGCUGCCAAGAUCAGUUUCUACAUCAAAGGUAAGAAGGAGACGUUUUCCUUCAAGAACAAGAUUACACAAAUCCCAGAUCAAUCCAGACGUGAAUCAAGGAAGAGGACCAACAGGAGGAACAAGAACAAGCAAGUGUGGACCGAGUCAGCUAAGAUGGUCACUGCAGUUUAAGAAGGUCAAGAUCAUCAACUUAAGUCACUGUUUUGGACCAAGAAGGAUGACCCAGGAAUGCCAAGCAUCUAUUGCUCCAUAAAUGGAUACAACUUCUACAAGACGACUUGCAACACUGGAUCUGGCGUCAACAUAAUGGCCGCAGUCACCUAUCGGCUCUUGUUCGGAACCAUGCCCCUAAAACCAACAUACAUUCAGCUCCAGAUGGUAGAUCAGACGUUUCGAGAAGUUAAAGGAACAGUAACUGAUGUCCCAGUCAAAAUAGACGAUCAUUUUGUCUACACAGACUUUCAGGUUAUUGACAUGGGAAAAGACGAAUACGAUCCACCCAUCAUCCUUGGAAGACCGUUCCUCAGCACCGUUAAAGCAAUUAUCUACAUUGGAACUGGAGAAGUCUAUAUGCACUUCCCCUCAGAGAAGGUACGCCACUAUUUUAUUGACCCUAACUAUAUCUUUGAAGAAUCUAAGCAGGUAAGAAAACGACGCAACCGCAACCAGAAGAGGCAAAUCAUCAAGGACGGAUGGGCAGACUAUGAAGGAGAAGUUGUAAGGUCAGAAGACGUAGAAUUUAAAUAGAACUAUCCUGAGGAGACCGUAGCACCAAGUCUGGUGUGGAAAGAGAAGAUAACUAUACAUGAAGAGGAGGCGCUGCCGAAAGUACCGACUACGCCACCCAACGAAUCCCAGGACAACUGAAGAAAACGGAGAGUCCCGUUCGGAGGACUUAAAAACACCGAACGCCUUGCCAAGAGGUAAACUUGGUAGUUAUCCUUUCCCUUUCAAUUAUUUAAAUAGUUUGCUUAGUUAAUUAUGUUCAUGCUGUCCUAAAAAGAAAAUAAAAAGGUUAAAAAUAUAGUAAGCCCCAUGUGAGUAUAUGAGUGGUAAGAAACCCAUAAGUACAUUCACUGUGGUGGCAUAAAAAUAAAAAAAAAUUCUUUUCUACUUUAUAAAAUAAAAAUAUAAAAAAUAGAGAGUAAUAAUUAUUAAGGAGUCUCAAUAUGAUAAAGGCUAGAUAUUUAUGCUAACACUUAAUCAGUUCCACAAGAUUUGUUGUCUAUUUGAGCUCCACAGAAUUUAAGAAUCAAGAAGACUAGCAAACGGAGGACAUUCUAAUCACUGUCAGAAUGCUGCUGACUUUCAAAUACACCUCUGCCACCUGCUAGCUACAUCAAGAAAAAUUACGUCAAAAUUCAGCUUGGGGGAGAGCACCCCCAUGUAUCCCGAUAAGUAUUUCUAUCUAUCUUUAUACUAUAAAUAUACAUUAUUAUGAAAAACCAAAUAAAGAUUUGAUACUUAUAUAUAUAUCUUUUGCUUAGUGUGUUUAAUAAAUAAAUAAAUAAAGUGGCUAUGCUAAUCUGUAUCUAAAUAAAACUCUAGCAUGGAUAUGAUGAAUAGUUGCUCUGCGUAAUUUUUAUAAUUUGAAGUUCUCUCUCACUAGUUUAGAUAUAACUGUUAUAAUUUAAAGCUUGCUCUAGACCUAAACUUGUGGGAUGAAAACUUGAUCUGAAGUCUAAGUUGUUAACGGAUAUGAUAUGGGAAGGUUGAGCUGCUGUUUAUCUGUUCCUAGAGAUGCUAGAAUUCUGGAGAAUUUUAUCUUUGAAAAUCUUUAAAAUAUUGCAUGAUGAGUUCCUAUAUGAUGAGAGUUUAAAUUCUUACCACAGCCAUAUAUACAUGCUUGCUAGACUUUGAGCCACACAUUUACUAUUUACUGCUUAUGAGCAUUGAGUGUGGUCAAGCUAUGUAGACCCUUAGGAGCUUAUCAUGUGGUUUUUCACUUGCACGUUCACUCACAUAUGCUGCUUCUACUCUGGAUGUACCAUGCACAUAUAUCCACCUAUUUCCAUCUCCAGAAUCACCCAAAAAUAUUCUACUCCUAAUCCGGGAGAGAAUAAACAAAAAUAUUUCUGUUUUUCCCCUGUGAAAAAAAUGCUCAAAUUAUCUUGUUACUACCACUAGCUAUACCAUCUCAAGAGAUGAGUGCUCUAAAAAAACAAGAAAAAGAGAAAAGAUACGAGGAAAUAAAAAGGGGCAAGUGCCCGGAACCUCGAAAGAAAAGAAAAAGUGAGACGAGAGAUAAAAAUAGACAAGUGUCUGACAGUAGAAUUAGGGGUACAAGAUACCCACCUGAGAGGAAAGAAAAAGAAGAGCAUCUCAUUCUCCUCAUAAAGUUUUAGAAAGCAAGGAAGGUAUGUAUCCCCUCAAAAGAGCAAAGUAGAAUUAGACUUUCACCGUUAUCACCAUCAUUACCAUACACCAUUCAUUCGCCACACAUGCAAAUCUUGAUUUGACUUAUUGAUUUGUUUCUUUAGAUCCAUGGUUUGACUAUACAAUAAAUGUCUUGUAAGUAUGUAUAUUUUGUCUCCCACCUAUGAGCUCCAGAUAUUAAAGCCUUAUUAGAGUAGGGUGAGAGAGAAGGCAAUGUCACUAUGCCAUAUACCAUAAAUACCAUAUAUUUUGAGAGAAGGCAUAUACCAUCACUUCCUUGGUAAGGAUCCAGAAAUACCACAAAGGAGAGAUUUAAGAGAGUCAUACAAGGAAUCUCUGAGUUUUAUUUGAAAAUCUGCAAAAACUCCAGAGCUAUAGCUGAUCAAGAAUAAGAGACAUGGCACUAGACUAGACUGUUCUAUCUUUCAACUACUCAAGACAGAAGUGACGGUUACAAGUCCCAUGGUGAAAGGUAAAGUAAGUAAGUUUUAAGUCUUGAUAGUUUACUCUAACUCAGAGAUAAGAUCUUAUUUAAAAGCAUGUGUACCGUCAAUUUUAAGAGUAUUGCAGCAACUUCUAAUCUAUCCUUGCUCAGGGACAAGCAAGAGGUAAGCUUGGGGGAGUUUGUUGACGGUCCUUAAGUAUCAAAUUUAAUUAUGAAAUAAACAAAGAAAAGGAUCCAAAUAAAAUCAACAUCUAGACUUAGGG